AAGAAUGAGACUUGGGCUUUGUGGACAUGGUACCGGAACCAGGACUCCGACAAUAAAAUUGGAGAUCAAAUUUAUAUAGUGAGGCAGCCUGAUAAAUGCCGCAUCCUCCGCCAUGUGUUCGAAAGUUGGCUUGCUGACCUCUAAUUUCUCACUGCUGCUUGCUGGGAAAAAAUUUAUUAUUAAGAUCCCAAAAUCAAUUGACCAUUCUUAUCUAGAUAGGAAUAGGAUGGAAGGUUGCAGAAAGAGUAGGAAGAUGGGGUUUCACCUAUGUAUACACACUAUAUAUAUAUAAGAGAGGGGGGGGGGUUGGGGGGGUGGGGGGUGGGGGAGGGGGCGGGGAGGGGGAGGGGGAGAGAGAGAGAGAGCAGAAGAAGAGCAACUCCGCUGUUGUUGUUGUAUGUAAAUGAUAAAAUCUCAUUUAUACGUCUCCUUUGUAACUUGAAUAUAUAUACUCUCUCAACCAAUUUAUACAACAACAACACGUGUAAGAUUGGUUCCUGGAGCAAUUUCGGAUAUCGAAUUCUAUUAUAUAUUUGCAGGGGUUCCACCUCCAUCUCAUAGAGAUUAUCAUCACCUGUUGUUUCUGUGAAUAAUGUAAAUUUCUUACCAAAACAUUUGUAAUAUUGUGCCAAUUAUAUUAUAUAUUGCAGGAUGCAUAGCAAUUUGGUGUCAGUAAAAACUUUGUCUGCCGCAUAUUUGAUCAUGUUUUAACUUCGGAAUUUCAUGGUCUAGUUAAUUUUGACGGAUUUUGAAAGGCUUUUAAAACAAAUUAGAAUCAAACUUUCGAAUUUACUACCCCAAACAAAUUGCACUGCAAAUUACCAUAAUCAGAAUUCAUCAGGUCAUGUACGUACUACAUAACAUUUACUUAGGAUAUGAAAUGGUGAGAUCGAUAAAUUCGAAAUCAUCAUUAUAUUGUUGUUCUUAUUACAUUAAUAUAGAUAUAUGUAGCCACUAUAUAUACCUAUUAGAGUGAAUACGAUACCAAUGCCCCACAAUUUGUUGUCCUGACACAAUCGACCGGAUUCGCUGCGUUGUAGUCAAAACAGAUGACGACGUCCAGCAGAUACGCGAUCCGCCCGUCAUACUUGCACAUAAGAAGAGGUGUUUUCCCAGUUGUUUGAGAAAAUAGAUAUUGUGCAUUGUAGGUCAACCAUAAUCUAUGAGCUUCGUGGAAGUAUUGUGUCUGGGAAAAUUUAUUGUCCGAGCACCUGCCGUGCUUGUUGUACUCAUGCUCCCAGAAAUCCAUAUUUGUCCGUCUAAUGUUGAAGCUGGGCCAGGAAUUGGACAAAAGUAAUUGCAGAUUAUGAUCAGCAAUCAUCUGAAGCACAAAGACGAGAAGUUACAAGCAUUUCAGAGAGCUGCAGGAGAAAAAAAACAAACUGAAAUGAGUAUAUAUAUUCAAUGUGUACCUGACUUCUGUCGAAUAGGGUCCAAGCGCAGAGUAUAGGUGCAGAUGGAUCGGUAAAGUUGCUCGGCCAGAGGCCGUGUGUCGUAAAGGUAUGCCGCAGAACUGGUUGGUUUCCACAAAUUCCAUUCCCAAGGCAGAAGACGUAUUGGAAGAUAUCAUAUGGUGUGGCAGCAUUGCUCUUUCCGACAUAAGUGACGAAGCAAAGAGCGAUGACAACGAGAACAUGUUGUGCGGAAGCGUCAAAUAUGAAACCAAUAAACUACAACGGCAAAAUAUGAUAAGACAAAUAAUCCAAAUGACACAAGGAUUUAUACUGGUUCGGCGUAAUCCUACGUCUAGUUUCGAGACGGCGAGGAAAUUCCACUAAUAUAAAAGGAGAUUACAAAUAGAGUUCAACACUCAAACCCAAAUCCGACAUACACCCAAUAGCUUUCACUCAUACAAAGAACAAAUGGAGAAGAAGAAACACAUACCAAAUCCUUCUCUCCCAAAAGCCACAAAAUUUAGCAAUAUAUCUUUGAAUGAAUGAUUGCACAAAUGAAGAACAGUAAAACAGCAGCACUCAAUUUUCUUCUCUAUCGGCUGCUCUCUGUUUUCUGCUAUCUGCUGCCGCUGAGUUUCUGUUCUCUUUUUUCUGCUAUCUGCUGCCGCUAAGUUUCUGCUCUCUUUACUGACCAAAAGGCAUGAAUUUGCCUUAUAUAUAAGGCUGGUGCCUUUUAAUUAAAACCCUAGCUGCAAUGUGGCUUUCAAAUGGGUAACAAAAGGCCAAACCUAUUUGGGCUUGAAACAAAAAACUAAAGGCCCAAGAAGUAUUGAGCCACAAAAUCCAAACAGAACAAUCUUGAAGAAGUGCAUGGUUGUCAAGCAAUUAUCAAAAGAACAAAGGGAGGGAGGGAGGAUGGGAUGAGAAAAUAAUAAGGAAAGCUAAAGAGUGAAUGAAGUGUGAAUUUUCAAAAGAAAUGAAGAGGUGUUUAAAUAGUUAGAGUUGAGGUUAAGGGUAGGGUUUGGAGAAAUUAAUUAAGGUGAAGCUAACUAGCAAAGAUGAUAAUAAUUAAGGUCAAGUAAGUGUGAAACAGAUCCUGAACUAGGGAAUGCCUCUUUCUUGUUAUGCAAGGCUUUGCAUUCUCAUAUGCAUGCUAUAAAGGGUGGUAACCGUGUAGUGGUUGAUUCAUCAACAACCCAAUCAACCCAAUUAUAGCGGUUCCUCAUAUAUCAGAUUCAGACCCCAAGCAAGCUAAUAGUCUCAAUUUUUAGAUUAUAAUUCUAUUUCAGAAAGCCAUUCAGGACCACGCUAGCUAAAUAUGGUUCCAAUCGAAUAUAAACAGAAACGAUUUGGACAUUGUUUAUGUAUCUUAUCUUGUAAAUUGAAGUUUCAACACUACUACCUUCUAGCAGUGGUAAUUCUUAUCUUUGAAAUUUUUGGAGCUCUCCUCUCCUCUUCAUGGUUUCUAUUCAAACUUACUUAUCCCCGGUUGCAGAUAAUUAAUUAACUUGUGGAUUAAGUAAAUAGCUAUUUCAAUUUGCUGCUACUCACCCUGGAGCUAGCCUUCGGACCGGGGAAAAUCAUAUUGUCCUAUAGACACCCGCUUCGUCGUCGCUGCAAGGCGACACCGCAGGGUGGAUAUCUGCGGGUACUCAUCAUUUCAUUUCAUGGUUGUAUUGCUUCACAUUUGCAGAUUGUUAACACAACAUGCCUUCUGUUUAGUUAAUUUCAUUAAUCAAACAUGAUCAAAUAUACAACAUACAAAUUGUUAGAAUUGAGGUCAAGUGUAGAGUGUAGAGAAAGAUUAAGUUGAAGCUAGCUAGCAAAGGUGAUAAUAAUUAAGGUCAAGUGAGUGUGAACACAUUCGGAAAUUAGGGAAUGCAUCUUUCUUGUUGCCCACGGCAAUGCGUUCUCAUGCUAUAAAGGGUAGUAACUGUGUAGUGGACGAUUCAUCAUCAACCCAAUUAUAUAAAGUGGGUUCAUCAUAUAUCAGAUUCAAACCCUAAGCUAGCUAGUAGUCCAAAUUUUAGAUUAUAAUUCUGUUUCAAAAAUCCAUUCAGGACAACGCUAGCUAAACAUGGUUCCGAACGAAAAAUACAGAAACGAUUUAGGCAUUGCUUGCGUAUCUCAUCUUGUAAAAAACGUACAACUUACAAUACACUUAAUUUCGAACACAUUGUUUGAGUAUCUCAUCUUCUUCGUUGAAAGGCAACACCGCAGGGUGGAUAUCUGCGGGUAGCCAUCAUUUCGUUUCUUGGUUGUAUUGCUUCAUAUACUCGUAAAUUUUUAUCGACUCCAAGUUUCUUAAAAGACAUCCAUAAUUUGAACAACAAAAGGAUUUCAUUACUUUCGAUAUCUACGUACACAUGUACUUGUUGUUGCCUGCCUUCCGUGACCGAAACCAUACUCUUCACAUAUACAACGGGCGAAUGAUUUGCUUUGCACAGUGGCAAAUAAUACGGUUGCGGAGGAAAAAUGGGAUUGAUCCUUACAGCACACUUUGAAUGGGAAGAUUUUUAAGCUUCUUAGUACGGAAGUUAUAGCAGACUAUGCCUCCAUUUUCCUCUACUGUAAGAACCUCUUCGCUUUUUCCACAUUGGCAAGCCUCCAUUUCCCUCUACUGUAAGAACCUCGUCGCUUUUCCACAUUGCCAAUGUGGAGUACAGGGGCAAGAGGGACCUUGAGAAUGAUGGGAUCUUGGCAGCAAAGUGUUUUGUCCAAACACCACCCGCAUUUUUCGGACCACCACCAGAAUCAUCAUCCAUUAGCCACAUUUCAAAGGGUGGUGUAUCACCAUCUUCAAAGGUAUUACAAUUCAAGCGAAAGAGAGCGAUGGAUUCAUUCCACACCUUAAGACGCAUUUCAAUACCAAAUCCUUCGAAAUUGUUGAACUCUACCAUCUCAUGUGGUAACAGUAUGUCAUGAAACACCUCACGACUCAUGUCAAACCAAACGAUCACUCGCCUAAUUUUUUCUUGCUCGGGAUAGGUGACAUCAUAGCUAUCGGCAAAUUCCUUUUGUUGCUCACUUCCUAUCCAAUAACACAUCCCCUUGAAGUACACCUGAAAAGUUUCAGGCCAAAGGAAAGUAGUUUCCGUUUCUAAAGAAUAAGGCUCGAUCUCCCUCCAAGAAUUAGUUCCUAGGGUAUACACUACUACCUUGGGAGGAUGAAUAAUCAAAUGUUCUGUGCCGCCAUGCAAUUCUGAACCAGAAAAUCCAAUUUUGACAACUUUGUAAUCUUUAGAUUUAGGAUCAUAGCCUAAUCCCAAAACAUCGUUGAACCGAUUUGUUAGUGGCAUGUAAGGCAUAUCCAACCACCAAGGAUGAGGAUCCCUAAAGGAUGCUUCGUCGAACCAAUCUGGACUGUAUGUCUCCGAGGGAAGGACCCUGAAUUCCUGAAUUGCCGGAUUCCACAAAAGCACCUUAGUAGAAUUAGGACGAGCUAGACAAAUGAUCCCAUCACAAUGACCUAUAACAUGAAAUGAUUGAUCAUCUCCAAUCUCCAGACUCAUAGAAAGAGGAAUAUUGACGUCCUCGAUCCCAGAAAGAGUGCUACACUUGUGCACACCACCAUCGUCAUCAUCAACAAUGACAUUGUCAAAAGUAAGUACUGAGAAUACGGAUUGAAAUUUGUCCCCAUUUGGGUCCUCCGUAGAAGGGACUAACAUUCGCUUCAGAAGGACACGAGUGGACUGAUCGUCCAGCAAGGAAUGGGAGAGGUGCUUGUCGACGAACCUGGGGUCGUUGAUGAGAGCAUGCCACCAUUUAGCGACGCGCACUUGAAUCGCAUCAGAGAUUUCGGAGGCAGAGUUGACAGAAUAUUCACCAACAAAUCUUGUCCGAUUUUGGAUGUUUGUUUCGUCAUUUGUGCAAUGUCAAUUAUGGACCUCACCCUUGUUCUACGAUACACACAAAGACCAACACACAACAAGAUCAGAAGAUUCCACAAUUACACAUUCUCUCUAAUUAAGCAUAUUCUCAAAAGCUCAUCAUCAUCUGGCAUUGCUAUUUCUUUGUUAAAAAUAAAAAAAAAACUCAUUGAUACAUUCAAAAAUUUAGCCCUACUGAAAAUGCCAAUUGAAAUUCAAAAGCGAAAUAAGAAUCGAAGCAAAAAAAGUAUCCUUCUUUCAUUUAAAAAAAAAAUAUAAAAACUGAAAUUGAAUAAUAAAAAGUUAGAAAUGAGGUUACCUUGUUGUAGACUAGGCAGUAGGAAGAGGAAGAGACCGAAGCAGAAGCAGCGCUGUGAGUGAGAGGGAAAGGGGCAGACUCGGCGCAGAAAAUGUAUUUUCUGCGUUUUGUUCGUGCAGCUGCGUGCGGUAAUGCGAUGGCAGAGAGGGGUUUUUAUUUUGAUUCUUGUGCGACCGUUUUUCAACACCCUCCCAAUUUUACGAACUUACCCUCCCAAAUUCGGCUGCAGUUUGCUGUUCUCUUAACUUUUUAACAGAUGUCUAUAAACUUAACUUUUAAUUUAACGGUGCUAUCUUUUCAAAAGGACUAAUAUAACAAAUAAAAAGAAAAAUAAAAGAAAAAACAAAAGGUGCCUAACUCUCCACCUACCCCAAUUACGCGCUAUUUAAUUUGGUGUUAUCACUGUUUAAUUUAACGAUGUUAUCUUUUAAGGGAUGCUGUUGUUUUUUUUUAAUUUUUAAUUUUUUUUAAAUGUUAACACUGUUGAAUUUGGUAUUAAGUUGAAGCAUGUGUCACUAAGUUAGAAAGAAGACAUGACGAAGACACUAGUUUAUGGACAUCAGACUCCUGGGCCUCAAUUUGUAAAUCAGAUUAAUAGUCUCCGUGGUGAUAGAGUAUUCGGAGAAAGUCUAUGUAGUAAAAAGAUUGCCGAGCUCUUCCAGUGGCUCUACUCUAAGCCCAGCCGUGAUGCCUGCUCCCUCGUUUUGCAAGCGCUAGCUCGCCUUCGAGUGCCUCAGCAGCACCGCCCUUUGCAUUGGCGCCACGGGUAGCCCGGACCUUGUCGUCGGCCUCCUCGCUGCAAAUUCCACAACGUCCGCGCGAUUCACAUUGACGAGCACCUUAACCUUUCAUCGAUGAGGCUGCAUUCUGCCAAUGGCUUUGACGACGACGUGCUUGAUUUGAACACUACCCAAACUUUUUUGUUUUUGAACAAAUGAUAUUAUCUACACACCAGUGAUGAUUACAACCACCGGAGUUUAUCUUUUAUUGACCCUAAAAACUAUUUGGGCCUAAACACCUUCCCAUGUGUGCCUUUUAGCCACCAACAUAAUCCAUCAGCUAGCUUGAUUUGCCCUUCAUAGUAGUUGUUUUUGUUGUUUAGUUAAGGAUUUCUAGAAAUCAGAAACUUUUGUUUUUUUUUGUUCCCUCAUUUCUGGCUUGUUAAUACAAGCUAUCGUUGCAUAUAAAAAUAAAAUAAAAAGGACGUAGCCUUAUGCCAACCAUAUUUUUUUUUAAAUUAUUAUUAUUUGUCACAUCCCAGCCCGAGCCCUCACCACAUCUCGGGCUCGACUCCACUGUAGCACAAUAUUAUUCGUUUUGGGGCCCUGAUCACACCCUCAAGGUUUUUAUUUUUGGGAACUCCACACGAAACUUCCCAGUGGGUCACCCAUCAUGGGAUUCCUUUUUGCGCGAACUCGCUGAACUUUGGAGUUUCGAUGAAACCCGAAGCCAGUGAGCUCCCAAAAUGCCUCGUGCUAGGUAGAGAUGAGAAUAUACAUAUAAGGCUUGCAGGAUCCAUUCCUUGGGCGAUGUGGGAUGUUACAAAUCCACCCCCCUUAGUGGCCCGACAUCCUUGUCGGUACACACUUCCGGCCAGGGAUUGGUUCUGAUACCAAAUUGUCACAUCCCGGCCUGGGGCCCCACCACCACCACAUCCCGGGCUCAACUUCACGGUAGCACGAUACUGUCCGCUUUGGGCCUCGACCACGCCCCCACGAUUUUUUGUUUUUGGGAACGAGAACUUCCCAGUGGGUUUACCCAUCCUAGGAUUGCUCUCGUGAACUCUCGCUUAACUUCGAAGUUCCGAUAGAACCCGAAGCCAAUGAGCUCCCAAAAUGCCUCGUGUUAGGUAGAGAGAAUAUACAUAUAAGGCUUAGAGGAUCCAUUCCCUGGGCGAUGUGGGAUGUGUUACAUUAUUAAAUGGAUGAUUUAAAACUUUUAUAAUAACUUAGAUGAGGAGGGAUGUUUGAACUUGACACGCAAGGUAGAAAUCAACUUCCAAUCCACUAGGAUAUUUGGACUACAUGCAUUAUGCCCAAAACAAUACAUAUCAAGGAUUGGUAGCCUUACUCGAUAAUUUCCUGUAAAACGGUCUUUGAAUCUCAAAAAUUGCUAAAAUUUAUUUUUAUUUUAAUACAUUCGAUAUUUUCUAUACUAAAGGAUCGAAGAAUGGCCAAAACCUCACAGUGGCUAGUAAUAUUGCUUUUGUUUGAAUUCGCCUUUAGUCACAUGUAUAAGGAAAUUUAAAUUUUGCUCAUUCACUAAUCACCCCGAGAAUCAUAUUCAUAAAGUAAUUAUCCAAAAUUUAAAACAAAACACCAAUAAAUAAUAAUCCAAAUACAUAGAAAAAGAGUAAUGCUAGGAAGGCUAAAUUUGUAGACAAAAUUUGCAAACCAAAUUAUGUGUCACCAAUAAGGAAUGAUUACGUUCAUCCAUGUUUAAAUUAAUGAUCUAAUCAACAACUUCGAUGUCAUUUAAAUUCAUAAAAUUGUCUUACUCCAUAGAAAAUUGUUCAAAAACUUGAACCAAAUAUUAAGAGGGCGUUUAGCCACUAGGGGGAACUCAGACACAUGUUGGCCCUUGUUUAAAAGUUCUAAUCUUCCAUCGGUGUAGAUGACUUUUGAAAAUCAAAAAACUACACAGUGGUAUCUUCGGGAUUAUCAACUUGAACAAAGUUAGUGUGUAUGACUUUACGACGUGAAUGAUACUUAGCAACAACAUCAACAAGUGCUUGACAAAUGCAUGACCAAUAAUCCUUGGAACCACAAUGAUAACAUAUGUCUAUUUCUAUGGUGGUUGUGCCUUACCUUUAUUCUUGAAGUUGAAAGUCUUGAGAUCUAGAGAAUCGCGCUUUGAAACCACAACUGUAACACAUGUCUAUUGGACCAGAAAAGUGUGGCAAGCGUUGUUCGUUAUGGGAAGCUGAGAUAUCCACCAACACAUGAAGCCACAGGGUAUUCUCUUGUUUACAAUCAGCUCUCCCCUUUUGAAGUCCAAAAUUAUACUUCCGGAAUCAUCCACCAUGUUCGUCUCACAAGUUUGAUUUCGUUUGCUUCUUAUUUUCUUCAAAGUUUCAAUGGAGAAUUACAAAGUUGGGUUUUGCUGAAAUGACUGAACUUUUAAAUCCCCCAAACAUAAGUUGUGAUGGAAUGUGGUUCUUCUGAUAAGUUGGUGAUCUAAUUGUUGUUUCGAUGUAGGGUUGAAACUGAAUACACUGUACUUUUAUCGAUGCGGGGAUCCUUCUAUACAUGCAAUGAGUCAAAUCCACCAUUUUCAGGACUAUCCCAGUUUUCUGGUCCUCGGAGCUACCCUGAGAGAAUAGCGGUUAUGGGAGACCUUGGCCUUACUUACAACACAACUACCACAAUAAGUCACUUGAAAAGUAACAAUCCUGAUCUUGUUCUAUUGAUUGGUGAUGUUACUUAUGCAAACCUCUACCUCACAAAUGGAACUGGCUCUGACUGCUAUUCUUGCUCAUUUCCAAACUCUCCAAUACAUGAGACCUAUCAGCCUCGAUGGGAUUAUGGGGAUGGUUAAAACAUAAAUUGCUUUAUUUCUAUCGCAUACAAUGGCUGCUGUAAAUUAUGGCAUAGAACUUGUUUUCUUAUGUUGUCAUUGCUGGGUAAUUUGUGUAGGUAUAUGCAGAGUUUAGUGUCCAAAGUUCCAAUAAUGGUUGUUGAAGGGAACCAUGAAAUAGAAGAACAGGCUGAAAAUAAGACUUUUGAGGCUUAUAGUUCUCGUUUGAGAAAACAAAUUUAAUGUGAAAUUAAUUGGUACUUGGUUCCCUCAUUGCUAAAACACAUAAUACAAAUCUUAUUUGAAACGCUAUCAGAAACAAUGACCUUAUCUUGAAACUCGUAUCACAACAGUACCAUUUGGUUCCGAUCCCAAGCAUGUUUUUAUUAAGUUGUCCUUGGUGUCUAUGAAUGACGAACAAUUUUCCUCAUUGUAAUUAAUUAUCUUUUUGCUUUAAAGUGCACUGAAUAUUCUUCAAUUUUCCAAAACAUUUGUAAUAUUGUGCCAAUUAUAUUAUAUAUUUGCAGGAUGCAUAGCAAUUUGGUGUCAGUAAAACUUUUGUCUGCCGCAUAUUUGAUCAUGUUUUAACUUCGGAAUUUCAUGGUCUAGUUAAUUUUGACGGAUUUUGAAAGGCUUUUAAAACAAAUUAGAAUCAAACUUUCGAAUUUACUACCCCAAACAAAUUGCACUGCAAAUUACCAUAAUCAGAAUUCAUCAGGUCAUGUACGUACUACAUAACAUUUACUUAGGAUAUGAAAUGGUGAGAUCGAUAAAUUCGAAAUCAUCAUUAUAUUGUUGUUCUUAUUACAUUAAUAUAGAUAUAUGUAGCAGCCACUAUAUAUACCCAUUAGAGUGAAUACGAUACCAAUGCCCCACAAUUUGUUGUCCUGACACAAUCGACCGGAUUCGCUGCGUUGUAGUCAAAACAGAUGACGACUUCCUGGAGAUACACGAUCCUCCCAUCAUACUUGCACAUAAGAAGAGGUGUUUUCCCUCCUAUAGUCCGUCGAAUGGCCGAUUCAAGGUCGAUGUAAUCAUAUUGAUGUCCUGGUACAAUCCCAGUUGUUUGAGAAAAUAGAUAUUGUGCAUUGUAGGUCAACCAUAAUCUAUGAGCUUCGUGGAAGUACUGUGUCUGGGAAAAUUUAUUGUCCGAGCACCUGCCGUGCUUGUUGUACUCAUGCUCCCAGAAAUCCAUAUUUGUCCGUCUAAUGUUGAAGUUGGGCCAGGAAUUGGACAAAAGUAAUUGCAUUAUGAUCAGCAUUCAUCUGAAGCACAAAGACGAGAAGUUACAAGCAUUUCAGAGAGCUGCAGGAGAAAAAAAACAAACUGAAAUGAGUAAAUAUAUUCAAUGUGUACCUGUUUUCUGUCGAAUAGCGUGCCAGCGCAGAGUAUAGAUGCAGAUGGAUCGGUAAAGUUGCUCGGCCAGAGGCCGUGUGUCGUAAAGGUAUGCCGCAGAACUGGUGGGUUUCCACAAAUUCCAUUCCCAAGGCAGAAGACGUAUGGGGAUUGCUGGACGAAUUGGAAGAUAUCAUAUGGUGUGGCAGCAUUGCUCUUUCCGAGAUAAGUGACGAAGCAAAGAGCGAUGACAACGAGAACAAUCUUGAAGAAGUGCAUGGUUGUCAAGCAAUUAUCAAAAGAACAAAGGGAGGGAGGGAGGAUGGGAUGAGAAAUAAUAAGGAAAGCUAAAGAGUGAAUGAAGUGUGAAUUUUCAAAGAAAUGAAGAGGUGUUUAAAUAGUUAGAGUUGAGGUUAAGGGUAGGGUUUGGAGAAAUUAAUUAAGGUGAAGCUAACUAGCAAAGAUGAUAAUAAUUAAGGUCAAGUAAGUGUGAACAGAUCCUGAACUAGGGAAUGCCUCUUUCUUGUUAUGCAAGGCUUUGCAUUCUCAUAUGCAUGCUAUAAAGGGUGGUAACCGUGUAGUGGUUGAUUCAUCAACAACCCAAUCAACCCAAUUAUAGCGGUUCCUCAUAUAUCAGAUUCAGACCCCAAGCAAGCUAAUAGUCUCAAUUUUUAGAUUAUAAUUCUAUUUGAGAAAGCCAUUCAGGACCACGCUAGCUAAAUAUGGUUCCAAUCGAAUAUAAACAGAAACGAUUUGGACAUUGUUUAUGUAUCUUAUCUUGUAAAUUGAAGUUUCAACCACUACCUUCUAGCAGUGGUAAUUCUUAUCUUUGAAAUUUUGGAGCUCUCCUCUCCUCUUCAUGGUUUCUAUUCAACUUACUUAUCCCGGUUGCAGAUAAUUAAUUAACUUGUGGAUUAAGUAAAUAGCUAUUUCAAUUUGCUGCUACUCACCCUGGAGCUAGCCUUCGGACCGGGGAAAUCAUAUUGUCCUAUAGACACCCGCUUCGUCGCUGCAAGGCGACACCGCAGGGUGGAUAUCUGCGGGUACUCAUCAUUUCAUUUCAUGGUUGUAUUGCUUCACAUUUGCAGAUUGUUAACACAACAUGCCUUCUGUUUAGUUAAUUCAUUAAUCAAACAUGAUCAAAUAUACAACAUACAAAUUGUUAGAAUUGAGGUCAAGUGUAGAGUGUAGAGAAAGAUUAAGUUGAAGCUAGCUAGCAAAGGUGAUAAUAAUUAAGGUCAAGUGAGUGUGAACACAUUCGGAAUUAGGGAAUGCAUCUUUCUUGUUGCCCACGGCAAUGCAUUCUCAUGCUAUAAAGGGUAGUAACUGUGUAGUGGAUGAUUCAUCAUCAACCCAAUUAUAUAAAGUGGUUCAUCAUAUAUCAGAUUCAAACCCUAAGCUAGCUAGCGGUCCAAAUUUUAGAUUAUAAUUCUGUUUCAAAAAUCCAUUCAGGACAACGCUAGCUAAACAUGGUUCCGAACGAAAAAAUACAGAAACGAUUUAGGCAUUGCUUGCGUAUCUCAUCUUGUAAAAAUGUACAACUUACAAUACACUUAAUUUCGAACAUUGUUUGUGUAUCUCAUCUUCUUCGUUGAAAGGCAACACCGCAGGGUGGAUAUCUGCAGGUAGCCAUCAUUUCGUUUCUUGGUUGUAUUGCUUCAUAUUUGCAGAUUGUUGAUACCACAUGCCUUUUCCGUUUAGUUAAUUCAUUAAUAAAAAAUUAUCAAAUAUACUCGUAAAUUUUUAUCGACUCCAAGUUUCUUAAGGACAUCCAUAAUUUGGACAACAAAAGGAUUUCAUUACUUUCGAUAUCUACGUACACAUGUACUUGUUGUUGCCUUCCGUGACCGAAACCAUACUCUUGACAUAUACAAUGGGCGAAUGAUUUGCUUUGCACAGUGGCAAAUAAUACGGUUGCGGAGGAAAAAUGGGAUUGAUCCUUACAGCACUUUGAAUGGGAAGAUUUUUAAGCUUCUUAGUACGGAAGUUAUAGCAGACUAUGCCUCCAUUUUCCUCUACUGUAAGAACCUCGUCGCUUUUCCACAUUGGCAAGCCUCCAUUUCCCUCUACUGUAAGAACCUCGUCGCUUUUCCACAUUGCCAAUGUGGAGUACAGGGGCAAGCCGGACCUUGAGAAUGAUGGGAUCUUGGCAGCAAAGUGUUUUGUCCAAACACCACCCGCAUUUUUCGGACCACCACCAGAAUCAUCAUCCAUUAGCCACAAUUCAAAGGGUGGUGUAUCACCAUCUUCAAAGGUAUUACGAUUCAAGCGAAAGAGAGCGAUGGAUUCAUUCCACACCUUAAGACGCAUUUCAAUACCAAUUCCUUCGAAAUUGUUGAACUCUACCAUCUCAUGUGGUAACAGUAUGUCAUGAAACACCUCACGACUCAUGUCAAACAAAACGAUCACUCGCCUAAUUUUUUUCUUGCUCGGGAUAGGUGACAUCAUAGCUAUCGGCAAAUUCCUUUUGUUGCUCACUUCCUAUCCAAUAACACAUCCCCUUUGAAGUACACCUGAAAAGUUUCAGGCCAAAGGAAAGUAGUUUCCGUUUCUAAAGAAUAAGGCUCGAUCUCCCUCCAAGAAUUAGUUCCUAGGGUAUACACUACUACCUUGGGAGGAUGAAUAAUCAAAUGUUCUGUGCCGCCAUGCAAUUCUGAACCAGAAAAUCCAAUUUUGACAACUUUGUAAUCUUUAGAUUUAGGAUCAUAGCCUAAUCCCAAAACAUCGUUGAACCGAUUUGUUAGUGGCAUGUAAGGCAUAUCCAACCACCAAGGAUGAGGAUCCCUAAAGGAUGCUUCGUCGAACCAAUCUGGACUGUAUGUCUCCGAGGGAAGAAGGACCCUGAAUUCCUGAAUUGCCGGAUUCCACAAAAGCACCUUAGUAGAAUUAGGACGAGCUAGACAAAUGAUCCCAUCACAAUGACCUAUAACAUGAAAUGAUUGAUCAUCUCCAAUCUCCAGACUCAUAGAAAGAGGAAUAUUGACGUCCUCGAUCCCAGAAAGAGUGCUACACUUGUGCACACCAUCAUCUCGUCAUCAUCAACAAUGACAUUGUCAAAAGUAAGUACUGAGAAAUACGGAUUGAAAUUUGUGUCCCCAUUUGGGUCCUCCGUAGAAGGGACUAACAUUCGCUUCAGAAGGACACGAGUGGACUGAUCGUCCAGCAUGGAAUGGGAGAGGUGCUUGUCGACGAACCUGGGGUCGUUGAUGAGAGCAUGCCACCAUUUAGCGACGCACUUGAAUCGCAUCAGAGAUUUCGGAGGCAGAGUUGACAGAAUAUUCACCAACAAAUCUUGUCCGAUUUUGGAUGUUUUGUUCGUCAUUUGUGCAAUGUCAAUUAUGGACCUCACCCUUGUUCUACGAUACACACAAAGACCAACACAACAAGAUCAGAAGAUUCCACAAAAGCUCAUCAUCAUCUGGCAUUGCUAUUUCUUGUUAAAAAAAAAAACUCAUUGAUACAUUCAAAAAUUUAGCCCUACUGAAAAUGCCAAUUGAAAUUCAAAAGCGAAAUAAGAAUCGAAGCAAAAAAAGUAUCCUUCUUUCAUUUAAAAAAAAAUAUAAAAACUGAAAUUGAAUAAUAAAAAGUUAGAAAUGAGGUUACCUUGUUGUAGACUAGGCAGUAGGAAGAGGAGAGAGAGACCGAAGCAGAAAGCAGCGCUGUGAGUGAGAGGGAAAGGGGCAGACUCGGCGCAGAAAAUGUAUUUUCUGCGUUUUGUUCGUGCAGCUGCGUGCGAUAAUGCGAUGGCAGAGAGGGGUUUUUAUUUUGAUUCUUGUGCGACCGAUUUCCACACCCUCCCAAAUUUACGAACUUACGCUCCCAAAUUCGGCCGCGGUUUGCAGUCUUCAAUUCCGUGUCUUAAUUGUGUAUGUUCUCUUAACUUUUUAACAGAUGUCUAUAAACUUAACUUUUAAUUUAACGGUGCUAUCUUUUUCAAAAGACUAAUAUAACAAAUAAAAAGAAAUAAAAGAAAAACAAAAGGUGCCUAACCCUCCACCUACCCCAUAACACUAUUGAAUUGGUGUUAUCACUGUUUAAUUUAACGGUGUUAUCUUUUUAGGGGAUACUGUCGUUUUUCUUUAAUUUUUAGUUUUUUUCUUCAAAUGUUAACACUGUUGAAUUGGUAUUAAGUUGAAGCAUGAGUCACUAAGUUAGAAAGAAGACAUGACGAAGACACUAGUUUAUGGACAUCAGACUCCUAGGCCUUAAUUUGUAAAUCAGAUUAAUAGUCUCUGUGGUGAUAGAGUAUUCGGAGGAAAGUCUAUGUAGUAAAAAGAUUGCCGAGCUCUUCCAGCGGCUCUACUCCAAGCCCAGCCGUGACGCCUACUCCCUCGUUUGCAAGCGCUAGCUCGCCCUCAAGCGCCUCAGCAGCACCGCCCUUUGCAUUGGCGGCCGACCGGUAUAUCGAUAGCUUAUUUGCUGGGUUCGUUAGGCAAGUGGGCAAGAAGAUUCGCCUACAGUAGCUGAUGCAGAUUCAGAAUUGUUAUUCUUGGGACUCGACCCAAAGACACAUCUGUUCUCGAAGUGCGUGACGUUUCGUGUGCUUGGGCGAGACCCACUCUUAUUUUUUAGCUUUGGUUUUCAGUAUAAGUAUUUUAACUUCAUUUCCUCUAGUUAUUUGUUUUUGUCGUUAUAAAUGUUUUUGGAAAAGUAUUUCUGUUUUCAUUUUUAAGUUGAUUCGAGCUUUUGAUCUAUAUGUUAGUACAUAUCUAUUUUGAUGUUAUCUGGCCUUAAAUUAUUUUGUGUUUUCGACUUUAUAUUUUAUUAAAGUAUGUUUUCUACUUUUACACUGAUGGGGAAAGAAAGUAUGAGCCUGGGGGCACGAAAGAUGGAAUCAUUGCAGCUGAUUGCGACGGCGUGGCAUUUUCCCUUUUGUGUAACCGCUCUUACCUAAUAUCUUCGUUACAUAUAUGUAUAUUAUUCUUCUUCCUAUUUUCGAAUAUUUUCAGUCUAGUCAGUGAUUUUAAAUUUCGAGGACGAAAUUAUUUUAAGGGGGGUAGAUUGUUACAACCACCCCCAAAUAAUUACACCAUUUGUUAUUUCCACCCCCAGCUGCCACGUGUCAAUCAUUAAACCUCCCCUCUUUUCCCUCUUUAUGUCCCCUCACCCCCGUGACCUUCUUCUUCUUCGUCUCUCUCUCCCGAAGCUCUCUCAACUCUCCAUGUAGCUCUCUCUCUCAACCUCUCGCAUCUCUCUCUCUCCCUGGACUCACUAGAACCUUAGCACCUUCAGGAGAGGCUUGUAGCAAGCCCAGGAUCCCUUUGCCCGCGAGAUCGAAGACACGGAGCAAAGCUCCGAUGAGCUUUCUUCCUUUUUAAGUGGGGGUAAGUCUCGAAUCCCUCAUUCUCGUACCUAGCUUAAUGUUUGGUUAUGAUUUAGAAGCUUGAACCUUCUAUUUUUACGUAGAUUUUGCUUCGGAAAUCAUUGUGGGUGAGCACACCCAUUUUCCGGCGAACCCAUGGACUUUGGAGGCUUUUCCGGUCACCUCCGACCGAGUUACGGUGUUUGGAAGGUAGAAAUCUCUCUCUAUCUCUUGGUUCUUCAUGUUUGUACCUAGAUCGGAGCUCGAAGCUUUCGUUUUCAAGUGACCGGAGCUGUAGCAGCUCCGGCCUUCUCUCUCGGCAAACCAGGCCAUCCGGCCUUUCCCAUUUCCUCCCCUCGGGCCUUAGGCCCGUGUUGUCUUAAGCCCAAACCCUAGCCCCCUUUAGUUUUUUUUAAGCUUUGUUAAUUGGUUUUUAAAACCCAAAAAUGGCUCGGGCCUUAUAUAAUUUGGCCUUGGGCAGGUUAUAUAUUAAAGGGCUUAAAGCCCUGUCCUUUUUAAUAAGGCCUUAAGGCCUUUGUGUUUUGGUGGUGUGUGUGUGUUUGUGGAGUGUAUAUGUUUGGGCUUAAGCCCAAACCCCAAUUCUCACCUUAAUACCCUUUUAACCCAAAAACCCUAGGUUUCUAAAACCCGUUUAAAACCCUAAACUCAUCCAAUCCCAAAUCCCCUAUUUUAUUUAAUUCAAACCCAAUCUUUUAGAAAAUCCUUUUAUUUAUCUAUUACAUUUUUGUGCUUAGGUAAAGUUGCUAGUGGAGAAAUUCUAUAUCCUUAUUCGUGCGAUUCUUCUGCUAAAGAAUAUUUGUGAGUGGACCCUUUCUAAAAUUACAUGAUUUUAUAAUUUAAUUGCAUAAAUGAUUAGCAUGCCUACGGAUUUACGAACUGAUUUAUGUUAAGCCUGUUUUUGGAAUUUAUUGAUUUCGUCUCGUGUUUUGGUGAGGAAAUAAAUUGCUAGCCUAGUUUGAGCUAUAUUUUAAUAUAUCGUAUUUUCUAUAAAAAUCAUGAACUGGUAGACUAUUCGAUGGAUGACGAUAGGAUGCUAGAACAUGUUUUAGAAACCCCUCUUUAUAGUAUAGACAAUGGAUGACUUUAUACUAUGAAGUGGUUAUUUAUGAUAGGCGUAACUAUUUGUGCGUACCUAGUAGACACUAUGCCGUCUGGGGCGAGGAACUGGUGUUGGCAUUUAGGCCGGGAGAAAUAAUCCCUAGCUACCGGCUGAGGGACAUGGAGCAAGCAUUGGGCCGGGAGUUGGUAAUCUCUGGCUACGGGCGCAGAGACCACGGAACAGGUAUUGGGUCGGGAGUUAUAUUUAUUUAGUGAUCUUUCUAGCAGCACACCGCGUUUACGAGAUGAUUUAUGAUGCGUUUACUGUUUUGAUUUCUGCGAUGAUAUUCCGCGAUGUGAUUUUUGAGAUAUUUGGCAUGCUAGGAUUUUUAUUAAAUUCAUCACUUAUUAUGCUAGUAGUUUUCAUUUAUAUAAACUUUGGGGGUUAGUAUGUUGAUAACUAUUUUAUUAUUAUUGUAUAUAUAAACUUGGUCCACUCACCUUUGUUUUGCGCCCCCAUUCAGGACUUAGGAUCAAGGUACCUAAUCCCGGCGUGAAGGCACUUCCCCAGCAGCAUCUUCGGAUCCUCUCGAAUGUAGGACUCACUCCUUUAUUCAUUAAAUUUUAUCUUAAUUCUUCUUAGUGAUUAGGUUUAGUUGUAUGCUCUGAGCAUGUUCCUAAACCUUUUAACUCUUAGUAUUUUAAAUUUCUAACCCGUAUUUAUUUCUUAUUCUUAGCUUUUGUAUCAAUUAAUGGCUUUCGUCACCCUCGGGUGUCGUCCAUCACGUGUCUAUCCUGGUAUUCGGGGAAUAUCAGGGUCGGGGCGUGUCAAAUUCGGCUGUAGUUUGCUGUCGCCAAUUCAGUGUCUCAUUUGUGUUUGCUCUCUAACUUUUUAACAGCGGUCUAUAAACUUAACUUUUAAUUUAACAGUGCUAUCUUUUCAAAAGACUAAUAUAACAAAUAAAAAGAAAUAAAAGAAAAACAAAAGGUGCCUAACUCUCCAACUACCCAAUUACACUAUUUAAUUGGUGUUAUCACUGUUUAAUUUAACGGUGUUGAAGCAUGUGUCACUAAGUUAGAAAGAAGACAUGGCGAAGACACUAGUUUAUGGACAUCAGACUCCUGGCCCUCAAUUUGUAAAUCAGAUUAAUAGUCUCCGUGGUGAUAGAGUAUUCGGAGGAUAGUUUAUGUAGAUCGUUGAGGUCUUCCGGCGGCUCGACUCCAAGCCCAGCUGUGAUGCAUGCUCCCUCGUCUGCAAGCGCUAGCUCGCCCUCAAGCGCCUCAGCAGCACCGCCCUCUGCAUUGGCGCCACCGGCAGCUCAGACCUCGUCGUCGGCCUCUUCACUGCUAAUUCCGCAACGUCCGCGCCGUUUACCUUGACGAGCACCUUAACCUUUCGUCGAUGAGGCUGCAUUUUGUUUGAGAAAAUGAAUUUCAUUGAUUAAGAGAAUAAAAUUACAAUGUUGUGGUAUGUGUAUAUAUAUAUACACACACACUCUCACAUAACUUUAACCUUCUAAACACCUUGCGACCUAUACAACAAUCUCAACUAAUUACUAAUCUAAUACAACAACCAAAACAAACAAACUAGCUCUAAGUUUUAUCACCAAUUGAAUCUUUAACAAUACUAUCCAAAACAUCCCCCCUCAAACUAAACUGAGGAGUUCAAAGGGACAGUUUGGAUCUUAAGAGCUGAAACCGGUCUUUGGAAAGAGAUUUUGUGCAUAUAUAUGAAAUUUGAUUUUGAGUGCAGAUAAAAUGGACUGAGAUGGCCUUCGAUAACAACUUUUCUUGAAUGUUGUGGUAGUUGAUCUCUACAUGCUUUGUUCUAGCAUGAAACAAAGGAUUUUUGGCAAGAGAGAUAGUUGAUUGAUUAUCACACUAGAGUUGAGGAGUACAUGUGUAACAACCCGUCCUAAAUUUUUACGGAACGAAAGGGUAAUGUUGUAAUUUCAUUUUGGGUUGGGAUAUUGGUUUAAAAUAUUGUUUUUGAGGGCCUUAAUAGGUGUGCCCAAGGGGCCCACCUAUGGAGUUUGUUCGCGACCCUCUCCCUUGUCUCUCUCUCUCUCUCUCUCUCUUUCUUCCCUCCUAUGAGUCUCACUAUCUUUUUCACUUUAUCUCUAUCACUCUUACUUCUCUCCCUUCUCUCUCAGCAAGUACCGAAGGGUGCCAUGGGGGAAAGCACCACCAGAGAAACCACCCAUUUCACCCUAUAGACCUUAUGAGCUCGAACUCGAGCCCUGUUACGUAGGAAAAACCGAGCCGUGAGACUCUAACUCCAAGCUUCGACGAGAACAAAGUUCCCCGACGCGACUUUGAAUGAUUUUGUAACUUUUUUGGUUUGGGUAAGCCUCAAAACACUCCAAAUGCUUAUCUUUUCGUCCCUAUAGUUCUUUUCUAACCACGUUGUUAUGUUUUGGACAUCAAAAUACGAAGAAACACCUCGAAGGAGUAUGUUCAAUGGUUGUGUGCUUAUCUAGUGGUCACUAUACCGCCACGGGUGAGGAUUAUAGUUGUUGGCUGCUGGCUAAGAGAAAUAAUCUCUGGCUACCAGUGCAGAGACAUAAAAGCGGGCAUUGGGUCAGGAGAUAUUAUUAUUGGAUACCACUAUGUAUCACACUAUAUAUGAGAUAUGUUUUAUGAAGGUUUUAUGACAUGCUACGGUUUUCGGAAAACCUAUUACAUAUUAUACUAUUGAAUUUCCAUAAAACUUUGGUGGUUAGUAUGUUGAUAAAAGUUUUAGUAAGUGUGUGUGUAUAUAUAUAUAUCAACUUGGUCCACCCAUGUUUGUUUUGUGCCCCAUCAGGACUUAGAAUCGCGGCGUACAAUCUCGACGUCAAGGCAUUUCCGCUUCGGCAGCUUCGAGUCCUCUUAGUGUAGAACCCAUUCCUUUGCUCCUUCAAUGUUAUAUUAUUUUCUUUUUAGUGUUUUAGAUUAGUUGUAUGCUCCGAACACGUUCAUCAUUUGCAUAUUAAAUAUAAUUAAAUUUAUAAGUCUUAUAUAUUUCGGGUUCUCAUGCAUUCUAAUAUGGCUUUGUCACCUUCAAGUAUCGGCCAGCACGUUCCUACCCUGAUGUUUGGGGAAUAUCAAGGUCGGGCAUGUCAACAAGGAAGAUGGAAACCAAUAUCAGCAAGUAACUGACAUAUCCAUGUAAUUUCGUCUAUAGUAUUAGCUAAAGAUCGAUACUCUGCCUCUGUUGAAGAACGAACCACUGUUGAUUGCUUCUUAGCAUUCCAACUGAUGAUAGAUGAACCCAGAAAAAUACAAUAAGCGCUAGUUGAUCUUCGAUGAAGUGUGCAACCUGCCCAGUCAGCAUCUGAUAAGGCUUUGAGAGAUGGAAUAGAGACAUAUUUUGUAAACCAAAGACCAAUGUCAAUGGAACCCUUAAGAUAUCGAAUGAUCCUUUUGAUAGCUUGAAAAUGAGACUGCCUUAGACUAUGCAUGAAUUGACUGUAAAUGAUAAAUUUGGCCGAGUCCAAGUAAGAUAUUGUAAUGAACCAACCAAAGGUCGAUAUCUGCAGGAUUAUCAAGCAAUGGAGAAGAAAGAUCCAUCUUGGAUGUACUGAGUGGGGUAGCACAUGGUUUUGCUCCAGCCAUGUUAGCCUUCUUUAAUAGAUCCAAGAUAUACUUUGUUUGUGAAAUGAAGAUGCCUUUGGAGGAUCGCUUGACUUCAAUUCCCAGAAAAUAAUGAAGUGCACCAAGGUCUUUAAUAAGAAAGAGAUAGCUAAGUUGAGAAAUAACAUGCUUGCAAGCUGCUGCAGAUGGCCCUGUGACAGUAAUGUCAUCAACAUAUAUCAGAACAAAGACCAUAAGAUCCCUUUUGACAAACAAUGAAUGAUCUAAUUUGGAACCAGUGAAGCCAAAAGUGUGUAAUGCUCCAUGGAGUUUUUCAUACAAGGCUCGGGGAGCCUGUUUAAGACCAUAUAGGGAUUUAUGCAAUUGACAAACAUGAGUAGGAUGAAUAACAUCUUCAAAACCAGGCGGCUGUUGCAUAUAAACAGAUUCAGACAAUGUCUUACGCAGAAAAGCAUUGCUUUCAUCUAGUUAAUUGAGACUCCAAUCAAAUUGGGCAACAAGAGUGAGUAGGAGUCGAAUUGUCACAGGCUGGGCUACUGGACUAAAAGUCUCAGUAUAAUCAAGUCAUUCUUGCUGAUGAAAACCUUUGGCAACUAAGCAAGCUUUGUACCUAUCUAUGGUACCAUCAGGUUUUCUUUUAAUCCUGAAAACCCACUUACAUCCUACAAUGUUUUGAUGAGCAGUUUUGGGUACUAAGGACCAAGUACCAUUUUGUUGUAAGGCAAGAAACUCCUCAUGCAUUGCCUUAACCCAAUGUGGAUAUUUGGAAGCUUGGAGAUAUGUAGUGGGAACAAAUUCAUUGGAAAGAUAAGAAAGGAGAGGAUGUUUGGUUGCAGAAAAUGCUUUUGGUUUGUAAAUACCAGAUUUGGACCUGGUUUGCAUAAGGUGAGUAUUAGUAUGAACCGAGUGAGAUGUAGGUAUAAGAGAUAUAGGUAUAAAGGUUGUUGGAGAAUAUAGGAGAUGAAGAUGAUGGUAUAGGGGAAUAGAUCUGUGGUUAAGUGAAUGUGAGGUGCAUGGGAAUGGUAUUGAGAGAUGAAGCUGCUACUGAGGAAAGAGAGCACUGUGAAGCUGCAAUAGUGUGAAAGGGAAAAUUGCCUUUAUCAAAGAUCACAUUUCGUGAGAUGUAUAACUUGUUGGUAGUGAGAUCCAAACAUUUGUAACCUUUGUGGUUGAGGCUGUAACCAAGGAAUACACAGAGCUUGCUUUUGGGAUCCAAUUUAGACUCAUAGUAAGGUUGCAACCAUGGAAAACAACUACCCCAAAAACCUUCAAGGUGGCAUAGUUAGGUGAUAUGUGGAAGAGACGUUCCUAUGGAGACAAUCUGGAUACAGUAGGUAAUUUGUUUAUGAGAAACACAGCAGUGGAAAAAACAUGAUCCCAAUAGGUGUGAGGGACCUUAGAAACUGUUAAAAGUGUUCUGGCAGUCUCAACUAUGUACAUGUGCUUAGGUUCAGCACAACUAUUCUGUUGAGGGGUGUAUAGAUAACUUAGUCAAUGAUUGAUACCAUUCUCAAUAAAGAAAUUAGAGCAUUGAGUGCUAAGAUAUUCCCCACCAUAAUAUGAUCUAAGAGCAACAAUUUUAGUAUGCAGCAAGUUCUCAACAAGACUUUUGAACUUAACAAAAGUAGGAAACACAUCAGAUUUAUAUUGCAAAGACAAAGCCAACAAUAUUUUGUAAAAUCGUCUACAAAUAUGACAUAGUAUCUGAAAUUGUUCGCAAAAAUGAUAGAUGUUUGCCCCCAAACAUCUGUGUGAAGUAGCUCCAAAGGUUUACUGGUAUGAAAAGUAUCUGAAAUUGUUCACAGAAGUGACAGAUGUUGGCCCCCAAACAUUUGUGUGAAGUAGCUUCAAAGGCUUACUGGUAUGACAAGUUACAUAAGCAAAUGGCAAUCUAGAACUUUUGCUUAAGGCACAACCAUUACAGAAAGACUUAUUGGAACCACUAGAAAAAGAAAUAAAAGACUUAGUAACCAACUUAUUGAGAAUCUUCACCAAAUGAUGGCCAAGUCUUUGGUGCCAAAUAUUUUUGGAUGUGUUAACAGAAGCAGCAAACACAUUGUGAUUAUGGAUCACAAAACUGGAAGGCUGUGGUUGAAAUGGAUAGAAGCCAUCUCUCACAGGACCUUUAAAGAGCAUCUUCCCCGAAGAAAUAUCCUUCACAGUGAAAUGAAAAUGAUAAAGAUGCAUAGAACACCAAUUGUCAACAAGAAACGGAUUUGCAGAAAGCAAAUUUUGUUUCAAAUCAGGAACAUGUAACAUAUUUAGAAGUUGAAAAUUAUGAUGAGGAGUAUUUAAUGUAGAAAAACUAGAGUGGAGAAUAGGCAAACCUUUAAAGAGUGUUGUAAGAAUUGGUCAUGUGAAUACUAGCACCGGAGUCAACAAUCCAAGUAGGUUGAGGAGAAUGUGUGCUUGCAGCCAUAGCAGAAUGAGAAACAUUGCUGGAAUAAUGUGGAUUCAUGCGCUGGGGACACUCGAUUGCAUCAUGUUCAAACUAGCGACAAAUUUGGCAUGGAAUCCUCAUUCCUGAGAAAUUGAAGGAUGAUCAACCACCACAGUUGUAGUGCUGAGAAUUGUUGCGAUAAGAAUUUGGACAAUUGUUGUUAGAACGGAAGUUGCUUCGUCCCUGAAAGUUUCUAGGGUUGGAGAAACCACGAUCACCACCACGACCUUGAGAGAAAUUAUGAUCACCACCACGACCUGGAGGAUUAUGUUAAGCAACAAAAGCCUGAGAAGGCGAAGUAGGAAGAAUGCCGGCGGUGGAGUUGUAUGCCUGAAUUGACAUUGUCGAAGUAGUUUUCUUCCGAUUUGUUAGCUGAAUCUCUUUAUUGAGAAGGAGACCAUGCAGCAUCAAGUGUGGUGGAACCAAGUCAGAAUUGUAUCGCAUCAACAAAAGAUUCGUACUCUGGUGGUAACUCAUGAUGUGUGACAGAGGUUAAUUCAGAAUCCUCAACUGGAGCACCGACACUAGCAAAAGCAUCAGUGAUCUCUUCAAUUUGUUGAAGAUAUUGGGCAGCUGUGGAAUCACCAUUCGAAAUGCUGUGCAGACAUGAUCAGAGCUCGUGGAUGUACAAUUGAGACGUCGUCGCAAGGCGUGACUCCAAUCUUGCCUAAAGCUCUCUGGAUGUAGUAACUCUAACAGUGUAAGGAUGAUCGAUUUAGAGAAUGUGGAAUUGAUCCAAAUGAGGAUGUUCUUAUCGUUCUCGAACCAAUAAACAUAUGCCGGAUUCAGAAUUUGAUUUCCAACAGCAUCAGGGAUGAAUUAAGAUGGAGGAGGCAUCGAUCCAUCAAGAAUUCUAGUGAGAUUAUAGUGAAGGAAGAUCGGAGCAAACAAUGCACUCAAGGUGAGAUAAUUGGUCGGAGUCAGCUUGAUCGGCACCAUGGAUCCGAUAUUCUGGAUUGUGAUUGAAGGUGUGGAAAGAGUAUAACUCGAAUUUGAAAAAGGAUUACGAUGAAUUUGUGUUGCCAAUUUCCAAACUCUCCGAUACAUGAGACCUAUCAGCCUCGAUGGGAUUACUGGGGAAAGUUAAAAUAUAAAUUGCUUUAUUUCUAUCGCAGGCAAUGGCUGUUGUAAAUUAUGGCAUAUAACUUAUUUUCUUAUGUUGUCAUUGCUGGGUAAUUUGUGUAGGUAUAUGCAGAGUUUAGUGUCCAAAGUUCCAAUAAUGGUUGUUGAAGGGAACCAUGAAAUAGAAGAACAGACUGAAAAUAAGACUUUUGAGGCUUAUAGUUCUCGGUUUGCAUUCCAAUCUGAAGAAAGCGGAUCUUUGUCCACAUUCUACUACUCAUUUAAUGCAGGGGGGAUUCAUUUUAUCAUGCUUGGAGCCUACACCGACUUUAGCAAAUCAGGUAAUUAAAGUUUGCCUAAUUUUUGAGCUCAUUCCUUGCCUAAAUAUUCGUAUUUUUGCAUUUCUUUUUCUUUACAAAUGGUUUCGUUAUUGUUUCUAUCCCCAUUAAUCAGUGAUUUCUUUGCCUACAGGGAAACAAUACAAGUGGCUGGAGCAAGAUUUGGCUAAUGUGGACAUAUCUGUUAAAAGUUAAUGCUUUACUGAAACUGAUUCUGUGUAAAAGGGCUGACUGUUGCCUUUAUCAGUCGACCCAUUCUCUUUAUCAGUCGACCCAAUUACUUCAGUCGGCUUAUGUAUUGAGCCAUAUAUAUCAGAAAUAUCUGAAUGAAAAUAUCAGAUCUCAGUUUUAAGUAAAAAGCAUCAGCCCUCUGUUUCCAAAAAAGCUCUGUGCACUUUGUUUCUUUGAUUUUCAAUCUUUAUCAUUUUAUUCAAGUUUUAUUAAUGAUGAAAGAUUGUCUAAAUACCAACAUGGUAUCAGAGCCAAUCUGAUCAAAGAGUGGGGCAUUUUUUUUUUAUUCUCAUAAAAGGGGAAAAUUCCAAGUGAAACCCUAGAAUCAAAAUUUUUCAAAUUCAUGGCUGGUUCAAGCAGCAGUGGUGAGAUUCGAACUCCUAUCUUCAGUGGAGUAAACUACGACUUCUGGAGGACAAAGUUGAGAACAAUUUUUGUAUCUCAUGAUUUGUGGAGCUUGAUUGAAGAUGGCUAUGUUGUACCUCCAAGCAAUGUGGUUUUGACAGAGACUCAAACAAGGGAGUUGAAGGUAAACAUCAAGAGAGAUGCAAAAGCUUUUGGGGUCAUCCAAAAUGCUAUCUCAGAUGAAAUUUUUCCGAGAAUCUCAAAUGAGACAAGUGCCAAAUUAGCUUGGGAUGUGCUGGAGAAAGUCUACAGAGGUUCUACUAAGGUAAGGGCUGUCAAACUUCAAUCUUUGAGAAGAGAUUUUGAGUAUAUAAGAAUGAAAGAUGAUGAAUUGCUAGAUGAUUACCUGAGUAGAUUGUCUGAGAUUAUUAAUCAAAUGAAAAGCUAUGGUGAAAUCUUGUCUGAUGAGAGAAUAGUUCAGAAGUAUCUAAUUAGCUUGCCAAGAAAGUAUGACAACAUAGUUUCAAUCAUAGAGGAGACUAAGGAUUUGUCAACUUUGAGUGUUGAAGAAUUGAUUGGUUCUCUCAAAGGUUUUGCUCAAAGAUUAUCUAGGCAUGACAACAAUGAUGUAGAAAAUGCUUUCCAAACACUUACAGUGAAUCCAAAAACUCAAGCUAGUUCAAGUCAAAGCAAAGCCAACUUCAACAAGAAUUGGAAAGGCAAAAACAAAGCGUGGGAAGGAAAGGGUAAUUUUGAAGACAAGAAAAAGGUUGAGAAGAGUUUGUAUGUUUCGAAGUGCAAAAUUUGUGACAAAGCUCAUUCCGGUGAAUGUUGGUUCAAAGGAAAAGUGAAAUGCCACAAGUGUAGCAAAUUCGGGCAUAUGCAAAAGGAUUGUACCUACAAAGAUAAUCAGCUAGCUCACUACACCAAAGCAGAAGAUGAAGAGACCAAUAUGUUUUAUGUUGGUCAUGAUACAACCGUCCAAGAAGAAGCUAAAGUUUGGUUUUGUGGACAGCGGCUGUAGCAAUCAUAUGACGGCGAAUAAGAACAUUCUCCAUAAUGUUGACACUACAAACCUAACCCGAGUGAAGAUGGGAAAAUGGGCAGCUAGUCGAUACAUUGGGAAGAGGUACUAUUGCCGUGCAUACGAAGAAUGGAAAGAUGUUCAUCAAGGAUGUCAUGUUAGUUCCUGAUUUGAAGCAAAAUUUGCUAAGUCUUGGACAACUCAUUGAGCAUGGCUACUACUUAUAUUUUGGAGACAAUACUUGCAAGAUAUAUGAUAGGAGGAAUCGUCAACAACUCGUGGCUAAGAUUGAGAUAAGGAAGAGUAGAAGUUUUCCUCUCACAAUUGAGUAUGCAACUCAAUCUGCAUUCAAGAUGGAAGUGCAAGAAGAUUCAAAGCUAUGGCAUAAAAGGCUUGGCCACUUGAAUUUUCAAAGUCUCAAGAAGCUACAAGAAAAAGAAAUGGUGCAUGGGUUGCCGAGUAUCCAAGAAAAUGAAGAAAUCUGUGAAGGGUGGGUGUGCACUUAGGAAGCAUCAUAGAGAUUCAUUUCCACAUGGUAAAGCUUGGAGAGCAAAAGUUCCAUUGGAAUUGAUUCAUACAGAUGUUUGUGGACCCAUGAAGACCUCUACUCAAGUGGGAAACAAGUAUUUCCUAAUCUUCGUGGAUGAUUAUUCCAGAAUGACUUGGGUAUACUUUCUAAGACAGAAAUAAGAAGUGUUCUCAAUCUUCAAGAAGUUUCAAGCUAUGGUUGAGCGACAAUCUGGGUAUCUAAUCAAAGUUCUUAGAAGUGACAGAGGAGGAGAGUAUACAUCCAUAGAAUUUGAUAAGUUUUGUCAAGAUAUUGGCUUGGAAAGACAACUUACUGUCAGCUACACUCCACAACAAAAUGGAGUAGCUGAGAGAAAAAAACAGAACCAUAGUCGAAAUGGCUAAGGCAAUGUUACAUGACAAGGGAAUACCUCAAUAUUUGUGGGGUGAGGCAGUUAAUACAGCGGUCUACUUGAUGAAUAGGUAUCCAACAGUGGCAGUUGAAGAUAAGACACCAUUUGAGGCAUGGAGUGGAAGAAAGCCUUCCGUGAAUCAUUUGAGAGUGUUUGGGUCAAUCUGCUUUGCUUAUGUUCCGAAAGAACUAAGACAAAAACUUGAUGAGUCAAGUGAAAGAUGCAUUUUCAUAGGCUAUGCUUCAUACACAAAAGGGUACAGACUCUACAAUUUAAAAAGGAAGAAAGUUGUGGUUUGUAGAGAUGUUAUUUUUAGUGAGAAAUCUUCGUGGGAUUGGAAUCAAGCAACCAUCCGAGAGGAAUCUGCACAAAUCAGAAUUGAAGAAGAAAAUCAACCAAAUGAAGAGGAAAUUGAGCCAGAAAUUCCACAAUUAUCACCUGAAAACAGUCCUCAAGCUCACUCUCCUACACUUUCAAGUCAAGUUCAACGCCGGUUCGGUUAAGGAGCUUAAAUGAAGUCUUUGAAAGCUGCAAUUUUUGUGUUGAAGAACCAGAAAACAUUGAUGAUGCAGUGAAAGAAGAGACUUGGAAGGCUGCAAUGCAAGAGGAGAUCAAUGUCAUUGUGAAAAACAAGACAUGGGAACUAGUGGACAGACCUUGUGGCAACUCGUCAUUGGAGUGAAGUGGAUUUAUAAGACUAAGCUCAAUCAAGAUGGUUCCGUUCAAAGGAACAAAGCUAGAAUGGUAGCAAAGGGUUAUUCUCAGAAACCCGGGAUUGAUUUCCAAGAAACAUUUGCACCGGUAGCUAGGCAUGAAACAAUCAGAGGCCUUAUUUCCGUAGCUGCUCAGAAGGGGUGGUUUCUACACCAACUUGAUGUCAAGUCGGCUUUCCUAAAUGGAGUCCUAAAAGAAGAGGUGUUCGUUGACCAACCUCAAGGAUUUGUUCUUAAAGGACAAGAGCACAAGGUGUAUAAGCUUAAGAAGGCACUUUAUGGCCUGAAACAAGCUCCGAGAGCAUGGUAUGGAGAGAUCGACUCAUAUUUCAAUGAAAGAGGUUUUCAAAGAAGUGAGAAUGAACCUGCCCUCUAUGUCAAAACAGAAGGUAUUUCAGAUAUCCUUAUUGUUUCCUUAUAUGUUGAUGAUUUGGUUUAUACUGGAAGUAGUCGUAAUAUGAUCUUGAAUUUCAAGAAUGACAUGAUGAGGAAAUAUGAGAUGAGUAAUCUAGGCAUGUUGCAUUAUUUUUUGGGAAUUAGUAUCAUUCAAUCAAAUGAUGGUAUCUUUAUUACUCAAAAGAAAUAUGCAAAAACACUUCUAGAAAAGUUCAAAAUGGUUGGUUGCAAGCCUGUUGCAACACCUCUAGUUGUGAAUGAAAAGUUUCAAAGAGAAGAUGGUAGUGGUGAUGCUGAUGAAUCUGUGUAUAGAAGCCUGGUUGGGAGUUUGUUGUAUUUGACAACGACUAGACCCGAUAUUAUGUAUGCUGCAAGCUUGUUGUCCAGAUUUAUGCACAAGCCUACUUGCAUUCACUAUGGAGCUGCAAAGAGGAUCCUAAGAUACAUACAAGGUACACUUGACUUUGGUAUUAUGUAUGAAAGGAAUGUUAAGCCCAAAUUGUAUGGGUUCUGUGAUAGUGACUGGGGAGGUAGUGUGGAUGACUUGAAGAGCACAUCUGGCUAUACUUUUACAUUAGGGACUGGUGUAUUCUCUUGGGCAUCUAAGAAACAGAAAUCAGUUGCACUAUCAACGGCAGAGGCUGAGUAUGUGUCGGCUUCAAUUGCAACUUCUCAAGUAGUGUGGCUGAGAAGAAUUAUGCAAGAUUUUGGUGAGAAACAAGAAUCAGCAACUCAUAUCCUUUGUGACAAUAAGUCAGCUAUUGCCAUGAGCAAGAAUCCUGUCUGUCAUGGUAAAUCAAAGCAUAUUGCUCUGAAGCAUCACUACAUCAGAGGUGCUGUGGAAGACAAGGAAGUGGAUGUGGUCUACUGCAAGACAGAAGAUCAAGUUACUGAUAUCUUCACCAAGGCAUUACCAAAGGACAGAUUCAUCUACCUAAGAGAACUUUUGGGAGUGAAGCAGCAAAGCAUUAAGAGGGAGUGUUAAAAGUUAAUGCUUUACUUAAACUGAUUCUGCUUACUGAAACUGAUUCUGUGUAAAAAGGCUGACUGUUGCCUUUAUCAGUCGACCCAUUCUCUUUAUCAGUCGACCCAAUUACUUCAGUCGGCUUAUGUAUUGAGCCAUAUAUAUCAGAAAUAUCUGAAUGAAAAUAUCAGAUCUCUAUUUUAAGUAAAAAGCAUCAGCCAUCUGUUUCCAAAAAACUCUUUGCACUCUGUUUCUUUGAUUUUCAAUCUUUAUCAUUUUAUUCAAGUUUUAUUAAUGAUGAAAGAUUGUCUAAAUACCAACAAGAUCCAUAACUCCCUGGUUGCUAGAUACUUGGCAUCAUCCCUGGUAUAGUACCUAUGAGGUCCAUUACAGAGAGGCAGAAUGUAUGAGGUUGGAAAUGGAAGAGCUACUGUACUCUUAUGGCGUUGAUAUAGUGUUCAAUGGACAUGUAAGUAACGAUAACCACCAAUGAUUGUCACAAUCUUUGAUAGGUAACAUGUUUCUUUCUUAUAGCCAGAAACUAUGUGGAAGAAGUGGUAUAAGGGUCAUUCGACUGAGGCUUUCUUUCAUACCAGUAACCAGAUAGUGAUAGAAAGCUAGAAGGAACUGCAGUUUAUGCUUUAAACUUUUGAGAAAACAAAUUUAAUAUGAAAUUAAUUGGUACUUGGUUCCCUUAUUGCUAAAACACAUAACACAAACUUAUUUGAAACGCUAUCAGAAACAAUGACCUUAUCUUGAAACUCUUAUCACAGCACUACCAUUUGGUUCCGAUCCCAAGCAUGAUUUUAUUAAGUUGUCCUUAGUGUCUAUGAAUGAUGACAAUUUUCCUCAUUGUAACUAAAUAUCUUCUCGCUUUAAAGUGCACUGAAUGUUCUUCUGUUUUCUUGAAUAAAACAAUAGGUUCAUGCCUACGAGCGAUCGAAUCGAGUUUAUGAUUACAACUUAGAUCACUGUGGUCCUGUAUAUCUCACCGUUGGAGACGAGGGUAAUCGGGAGAAGAUGGCAGUUCAAGAUGCUGACGAACCUGGUCAUUGCCCAUAGCCAUCAAUUACUUCUGAUCAACACCUAGGUGAUGGUGCCUUUUGUGCAGAGAACUUUACCUCCGGCCCAGCAGCAGGUAAAUUUUGUUAGGAUCGGCAACCGGAUUACAGUGCUUUCAGAGAAAGCAGCUUUGGCCAUGGGAUCCUUGAGGUACUCCUUUUUCUAUGUUUCUGUUUGGCAAAUAUCCAGUCUGACAAUGCAUUCAAUUGUCUAUAAACGUUAUACUUUAAUUUGUAUGACCCUACACUACAUAUGAUACAACUUGAAAAUGAUUGAUGGAAAGAUGAGCAUGUGCUUGACUGUCAAUGUGUAUAGAAAGACCACACAUGGGUAAAUGUUAUGGAACCAGUUUAAAUCAUUUUUACCAUUCCACUGCAGUGUCAAGAGAAAAUCACUUAGCACCAAUAUCUGUUUAUACGGAGUGCGAAAAUCCUGUGACUGACUUGAAUACCCUUGAUCGGUUAUUGAGUAGCAAACAUAUAGAUGUAGGCUAGUAGGCUACCUGGAUUAUACACUAAGCGUGCAUUUUGAUGUGCAUAACUUGCAGGUGAAGAAUGAGACUUGGGCUUUGUGGACAUGGUACCAGAACCAGGACUCCGACAAUAAAAUUGGAGAUCAAAUUUAUAUAGUGAGGCAGCCUGAUAAAUGCUGCAUCCACCAUUUGUUCGAAAGUUGGCUUGCUGACCUCUAAUUCUCACUGCUGCUUGCUGGGAAAAAUUUAUUAUUAAGAUCCCAAAUCAAUUGACCAUUCUUAUCUGUUAGUUUAUAAGUGUAUAUGCUGAAAUAUAAUAAGAAGUCAGCUUUAAAUAUCAGCCCUUGGAUCAUAGUCCAAGUGUGCAGCUAAGAUGUAAUCUUAGAUUAAGUAAUAUUUGCUCUUGCUACAUGUGCUUAGUGUGUGCGUAUGAAUCAAAUAGAGUGCAGAGUCUUUUCUUCUUCUUCAAGCUUAACUCUCUCUUUCUCUAAAACUCUCAUCUUCCUCUUCUUCAGUACUCAUAGAUUGAUUGAAACUUAUAUACAAGAUUAUAGUCUGUAUGCUAACAUGGCCUCAGAGCCAGGUUUGAUCAAUUGAUACUGGGCGUUUAGAUCUGUGAAGAGUGUUACCCAGAAAUCGAGUCGAUUAUGAUCUGAGUCUAACAUGGCAGGAUCGGGUAGUAGUGAGGUGAGAACACCGAUUUUCAAAGGUGAUAAUUAUGAGUUCUGGAGUAUUAAGAUGAAAACGAUUUUCAAAUCUCACGGACUGUGGGAUCUGGUUGAGAAAGGUUUCGAGAGUUCAGAUUCGAAGGAUGAUGGUGAAUCUGAUGGAAAGAAGAAAGAAAAUGAGGAGUCGAGCAGUAUUGAGAAGCUAUCUCUAGCUGAGAGACUGAUGAAAGAUGCUAAAGCUAUGGGUCUGAUUUAAGGAGCUGUUUCAGAUGAAAUAUUUCCUAGAAUCUCUUAUGAAGAAACCUCAAAAGGCGCAUGGGAUACUCUGCAACAAGACCAUGGUGAUAAACAGGUUAGAAAUGUUAAAUUGCAAGGUCUUCGUAGGGAAUUUGAAUAUACAAGAAUGCGAGAUGAUGAAUCACUUUCUGUUUAUCUUACAAAGUUAUUUGAUCUGAUAAAUCAAAUGCGGAGUUAUGGAGAGGAGUUAUCUCGAGAGAGGAUUGUUCAAAAGUUAUUGAUUAGUUUGCCAUCAGCUUAUGAUUCUAUAUGCUCUGUUAUUGAACAUUCGAAGGAUUUGGAUGUGAUUGAGGUACAAGAAGUAGUGGCUUCCUUGAAGAGUUUUGAGCUACGUCUAGAUAGACAUUCUGAGCACAAAACUGAGAAAGCAUUUGCUAGUCUCAAUGUGAAUCCCAAACCAGCUAAAUUCACUGGAAAUCAAAGUGCAAGGUACCAUAAGAAUUGGAAAGAAAAAGGGAAGAGGUGGGAUAACAAACCCACUGAUGGUGCUAGAAAUCCUUGUAAACAUUGUGAUAAGCUACAUUUUGGUGAGUGCCGAUUCAAGGGUAAACCAAAGUGUUAUAACUGUGAUAAGUUUGGUCAUCUUGCAAGGGAUUGUAAUAGCAAGAAACCAGUGCAACAGCUCAAUUAUGCAAAUAAGGUAGAAUCUACACCCACCAUGUUUUAUGCUAGUAAUCAAAUUAAUACUAGUGUAAAGGACUGUGAUGAUGUAUGGUAUGUAGAUAGUGGGUGUAGCAAUCAUAUGACUGGAAGGGAGGAUUUACUUGUGGAUAUUGAUAAGAAUGUAACUGCAAAAGUUGAAAUGGGUACUGGACAGCUUGUUGAUGUAACUGGUAAAGGGAGUCUUGUAGUUGAAACUAAACUAGGCAAGAGAUAUAUAAAGGAGGUUAUGCUUGUGCCUGGACUGAAAGAAAAUUUGCUCAGUGUGGGUCAAAUGAUGGAGCACGGUUAUUAUUUGGUGUUUGGAGGUCACAAGGUGGAAAUCUAUGAUGAUAGCUCAUAUUCCAACAUGGUUGCUAAAGUUCCAAUGAAGGGAAAUCGAAGUUUUCCAAUGAAAUUACAGACUGGAAUACAUAUUGCUUUCAAGGCAAAUGUAUGUGCUUCUACUACUAUGUGGCAUAAAAGAUUGGGACACCUAAACAUGAGCAGUUUGAAAUUGAUGCAGGAACAAGAAAUGGUAGUAGGAUUACCAGAAAUCAAAGUAGUUAAAGGAGUAUGUGAAGGUUGUGUUCUCGGCAAAUAAUGUAGAGAAGCAUUUCCAAGGGAAGCUAAUACUAGAGCAUCAAUUCCUCUAGAGCUUGUGCAUAGUGACAUUUGUGGUCCGAUGCAGACAACUACAAAAGCUGGCAAUAGAUAUUUUCUUACUUUCAUAGAUGACUGCACCCGGAUGUGUUGGGUUUAUUUUUUAAGGGCAUAAAUCUGAAGUUCUCAGUGUGUUUUUAAAAAGUUCAAAGCCACUGUGGAGUUGCAGAGUGGUUAUAAUCUAAAGCAGCUUAGGAGUGAUCGAGGAGGUGAAUACACUUCAAUGGAGUUUAACAAGUUUGUUGAAGAUGUAGGCAUGGAAAGACAACUUACCACUCCAUACACACCACAGCAAAACGGUGUGGCAGAGCGAAAGAACAGAACCAUUGUGGAAAUGGCUAAGUGUCUCAUGUUGGAGAAGGACAUCCCACUUGAAUCUUGGGCUGAGGCAGUUAAUACCUCAGUGUAUAUUCUGAAUAGAUGUCCAACUAAAGCUUUACAUAAGAAGACACCUUUUGAAGCUUACAGUGGGAGAAAACCAGGAAUUAAGCAUCUAAAGGUGUUUGGUUCUUUGUGUUAUGCUCAUGUGCCAAGUCAAUAGAGACAAAAAUUCGAUUUGGCAAGCAAGAGGUGUAUUUUCUUGGGAUAUGGUAGUUGUGAGAAGGGAUAUAGACUUUAUAACAUUGAAUCUGGAAAGGUGACUAUUUCCAGAGAUGUUGUGUUUAAUGAAGAAGCAUGUUGGGAUUGGAAUGCACAGAAGGAAAGAAGGGAGAGUAUCCAGAUCAUUGAAAUGUCUGAAGGAGAACAAAACUGUGAAGGAGGUGCUUGUGAUUCUGAAACACUCAGUGAAGAGAAUGUUGGGCCAAGCUUAGUUACUGAGCUCUCUGAUCAAGAAAGAAUGACAGGUCCACAGGAUUUUGAUCACACUCCUCUCAAGUACAAAAACAUUGCAGAAAUAUAUGAGAAGUGUAAUCUGUGCAUUAUAGAACCCGAAUGUUUUGAAGAAGCUGCCAAGGAUGAAUCAUGGCAGAAGGCUAUGGAAGAUGAAAUUUCUAUGAUUGAGAAGAAUCAUACUUGGGAUCUUGUUGAUAGACCAUUUGAUAAACCAAUCAUUGGAGUCAAAUGGGUUUAUAAAACAAAACAAAAUCUGGAUGGUUCAGUGCAGAAAAACAAAUCACGGUUGGUUGCAAAAGGUUACUCUCAGAAGCCUGGAAUCGAUUUUAAUGAAACUUUUGCACCAGUGGCAAGACUUGAUACUGUGAGAACUUUAGUGGCCCUUGCUGCACAGAAAUGAUGGAAAUUUUUCAGUUAGAUGUAAAGUCUGCAUUUCUAAAUGGAGUGUUGAAUGAAGAGGUGUAUGUGGAUCAACCAUCUGGUUUUGUUAUACAGGGCAAAGAAGACAAAGUGUACAGGCUCAGGAAAGCUUUAUAUGGUUUGAAACAAGCUCCAAGAGCUUGGUAUGAAGAAAUAAAUUCCUAUUUUGUAAAGGCUGGAUUCCACAGAAGUCCGAGUGAAGCUACUCUUUAUAUCAAGACAUCUCACAGUGGCAUUCUCAUUGUGUCACUAUAUGUAGAUGAUAUUAUCUACACUGGAAGUUCAAAGGAGAUGAUAGCAGAGUUCAAAGGUGAGAUGAUGAGACAAUAUGAGAUGACUGAUCUAGGAUUACUUCAUCAUUUCCUUGGUCUUGGGGUACUGCAGACAGAUAAUUACAUCUUCUUGCAUCAAAAGAAAUAUGCAAAGACUUUGCUUGAGAAAUUUGGACUUAGGGAUUGCAAGCCGGUUGCAACACCAUUAGCUAUGAAUGAAAGACUUACAAAAGUAGAUGGAAGUGAUCUGGCAGAUGAGACUUUAUAUAGACAAAUGGUGGGAAGUUUGCUAUAUUUGACAGCAACAAGGCCAGAUAUUAUGUUUGCAGCAAGCUUAUUGGCUAGGUUUAUGCACAAUCCUACCAAGAAGCAUAUGGGGACAGCUAAGAGAGUUCUGAGAUACAUACAAGGCACUGUGAACUAUGAAGUUGUUUAUGAGAAGGGAAAAUGAGUAGUGUUGGUUGGUUAUUGUGAUAGUGAUUGGAGUGGAAGUGAAGAUGAUAUGAGGAGUACAUCUGGCUAUGCAUUCAAUCUUGGUUCUGGUGUGUUUUCUUGGGCCUCAAUCAAACAAAGCAGUGUUGCUUUUUCAACCGCAGAGGCAAAAUACAUCAGUGCAGCAGAAGCUACUGCACAGGCCAUUUGGCUAAGAUUUGUACUCUCUGAUUUCGGGGAAGAACAAGCAGAACCAACUAAGUUGUUGUGUGAUAAUACUUCAGCAAUUGCCAUAUCAAAGAAUCCAGUUCAUCAUCACAAAACCAGGCACAUUAAUCGGAAAUUUCAUUUCAUCCGAGAUGCACUUCAAGAUGGUGAAAUUGAUCUGGUAUACUGCAAGACUGAAGAGCAGAUUGCAGAUAUAUUCACUAAAGCUUUGGCAAGGGAUCGAUUUGAAUUACUGAGGACAGCUUUGGGAGUGAUUUCAGCACAUCACUUAGAAGGGAGUGUUAGUUUAUAAGUGUAUAUGUUGAAAUAUAAUAAGAAGUCAGCUUUAAAUAUCAGCCCUUGGAUCAUAGUCCAAGUGUGCAGCUAAGAUGUAAUCUUAGAUUAAGUAAUAUUUGCUCUUGCUACAUGUGCUUAGUGUGUGUGUAUGAAUCAAAUAGAGUGCAGAGUCUUUUCUUCUUCUUCAAGCUUAACUCUCUCUUUCUCUAAAACUCUCAUCUUCCUCUUCUUCAGUACUCAUAGAUUGAUUGAAACUUAUAUACAAGAUUAUAGUCUGUAUACUAACAACUAAUAUAGAGACGACCGCUGAGUUCCAAUUGAAAACAAGUGGGCCCAACGUCAGCCGACCUCUGAGUUUCAAUCACCGAUGUGGAUCUCCACGUGUGAACCACUAAAUGAGGUUACACGUGAGGGGGAGUGUUAAACUGUCCCACAUCGGUGGGGUGAAGAAAACCAAAGGGGUUUAAAUAGUAUUACCCCACUCUAACUAAUACCGAGGCCUUUUGUGGUAAAACCCCACACCUGAGGAUUGUGCAGGUGGUUAAGUGGGGACAGUAUCGGUGUCGUUAGAGUGGGGCGGGCCCAGCGAUCCAAAAAUUCCAACAUUAUCUAGAUAGGAAUAGGAUGGAAGGUUGCAGAAAGAGUAGGAAGAUGGGGUUUCACCUAUGUAUACACACUAUAUAUAUAAGAGGAGGGGGUUGGGGGGGGUAGGGGUGGGGGGUGGGGGGGGGCGGGGAGAGAGAGAGAGAGAGAGCAGAAGAAGAGCAACUCCGCUGUUGUUGUAUGUAAAUGAUAAAAUCUCGUUUAUACGUCUCCUUUGUAACUUGAAUAUAUACUCUCUCAACCAGUUUAUACAACAACAAACGUGUAAGAUUGGUUCCUGGAGCAAUUUCGGAUAUUGAAUUCUAAACUAAUUGCGUAUUUUUGUUGAGUUAUCAAAAAAUUUCCCCUCCCCUUAUUGUGAAGCCGAGAAAUUGUUGGAAGUGACUUUUAUACUGUCACAUGGUGUUACCAGUUCACUGAUGUUAUGGUGGUACUGCUUAAAAGGGUGGCGUUUCGACAAAAUCCUUAGCUCCCGAGCUCACAAUGCACCCCGUCCAUAAGUCAUUCGGAGUUUGGACGGAACGAUGAGGUUCGCUACUACCUCCGUACAAAAAACCUUCAACAACUUCCCGUUCAUUGUAUUCUCCAUUAAAUUCCAGGCCAGGGGUUCCACCUCCAUCUCAUAGAGAUUAUCAUCACCUGUUGUUUCUGUGAAUAAUGUAAAUUUCUUACCAAAACAUUUGUAAUAUUGUGCCAAUUAUAUUAUAUAUUUGCAGGAUGCAUAGCAAUUUGGUGUCAGUAAAACUUUGUCUGCCGCAUAUUUGAUCAUGUUUUAACUUCGGAAUUUCAUGGUCUUGUUAAUUUUGACGGAUUUUGAAAGGCUUUUAAAACAAAUUAGAAUCAAACUUUCGAAUUUACUACCCCAAACAAAUUGCACUGCAAAUUACCAUAAUCAGAAUUCAUCAGGUCAUGUACGUACUACAUAACAUUUACUUAGGAUAUGAAAUGGUGAGAUCGAUAAAUUCGAAAUCAUCAUUAUAUUGUUGUUCUUAUUACAUUAAUAUAGAUAUAUGUAGCCACUAUAUAUACCUAUUAGAGUGAAUACGAUACCAAUGCCCCACAAUUUGUUGUCCUGACACAAUCGACCGGAUUCGCUGCGUUGUAGUCAAAACAGAUGACGACUUCCUGCAGAUACGCGAUCCCCCCGUCCUUCUUGCACAUAAGAAGAGGUGUUUUCCCUCCUAUAGUCCGUCGAAUGGCCGAUUCAAGGUCGAUGUAAUGAUAUUGAUAUCCUGGUACAAUCCCAGUUGUUUGAGAAAAUAGAUGUUGUGCAUUGUAGGUCAACCAUAAUCUAUGAGCUUCGUGGAAGUAUUGUGUCUGGGAAAAUUUAUUGUCCGAGCACCUGCCGUGCUUGUUGUACUCUUGCGCCCAGAAAUCCAUAUUUGUCCGUCUAUUGUUGAAGCUGGGCCAGGAAUUGGACAAAAGUAAUUGCAGAUUAUGAUCAGCAAUCAUCUGAAGCACAAAGACGAGAAGUUACAAGCAUUUCAGAGAGCUGCAGGAGAAAAAAAACAAACUGAAAUGAGUAUAUAUAUUCAAUGUGUACCUGAUUUCUGUUGAAUAGGGUGCCAGCGCAGAGUAUAGGUGCAGAUGGAUCGGUAAAGUUGCUCGGCCAGAGGCCGUGUGUCGUAAAGGUAUGCCGUAGAACUUGUUGGUUUCCACAAAUUCCAUUCCCAAGGCAGAAGACGUAUUGGAAGAUAUCAUAUGGUGUGGCAGCAUUGCUCUUUCCGACAUAAGUGACGAAGCAAAGAGCGAUGACAACGAGAACAUGUUGUGCGGAAGCGUCAAAUGUGAAACCAAUAAACUACAACGGCAAAAUAUGAUAAACUACAAUGGCAAAAUAUGAUAAGACAAAUAAUCUAAAUAACACAAGGAUUUAUACUGGUUCGGCGUAAGCCUACGUCCAGUUCCGAGACGGCGAGGAAAUUCCACUAAUAUCAAAAGGAGAUUACAAAUAGAGUUCAACACUCAAACCCAAAUCCCACAUACACCCAAUAGCUUUCACUCAUAUAAAGAACAAAUAGAGAAGAAGAAACACAUACCAAAUCCUUCUCUCCCAAAAGCCACAAAAUGUAGCAAUAUAUCUUUGAAUGAAUGAUUGCACAAAUGGAGAACAGUAAAACAGCAGCACUCAAUUUUCUUCUCUAUCGGCUGCUCUCUGUUUUCUGCUAUAUGCUGCCGCUGAGUUUCUGCUCUCUUUUUUUCUGCUAUCUGCUGCCGCUGAGUUUCUGCUCUCUUUACUGACCAAAAGGCAUGAAUUGCCUUAUAUAAGGCUGGUGCCUUUUAAUUAAACCCUAGCUGCCAUGUGGCUUUCAAAUGGGUAACAAAAGGCCAAACCUAUUUGGGUUUGAGACAAAAAACUAAAGGCCCAAGAAGUAUUGAGCCACAAAAUCCAACAGAACAAUCUUGAAGAAGUGCAUGGUUGUCAACCAAUUAUCAAAAGAACAAAGGGAGGGAGGGAGGAUGGGAUGAGAAAUAACAAGGAAAGCUAAAGAGUGAAUGAAGUGUGAAUUUUCAAAGAAAUGAAGAGGUGUUUAAAUAGUUAGAGUUGAGGUUAAGGGUAGGGUUUGGAGAAAUUAAUUAAGGUGAAGCUAACUAGCAAAGAUGAUAAUAAUUAAGGUCAAGUAAGUGUGAACAGAUCCUGAACUAGGGAAUGCCUCUUUCUUGUUAUGCAAGGCUUUGCAUUCUCAUAUGCAUGCUAUAAAGGGUGGUAACCGUGUAGUGGUUGAUUCAUCAACAACCCAAUCAACCCAAUUAUAGCGGUUCCUCAUAUAUCAGAUUCAGACCCCAAGCAAGCUAAUAGUCUCAAUUUUUAGAUUAUAAUUCUAUUUCAGAAAGCCAUUCAGGACCACGCUAGCUAAAUAUGGUUCCAAUCGAAUAUAAACAGAAACGAUUUGGACAUUGUUUAUGUAUCUUAUCUUGUAAAUUGAAGUUUCAACCACUACCUUCUAGCAGUGGUAAUUCUUAUCUUUGAAAUUUUGGAGCUCUCCUCUCCUCUUCAUGGUUUCUAUUCAACUUACUUAUCCCGGUUGCAGAUAAUUAAUUAACUUGUGGAUUAAGUAAAUAGCUAUUUCAAUUUGCUGCUACUCACCCUGGAGCUAGCCUUCGGACCGGGGAAAUCAUAUUGUCCUAUAGACACCCGCGCUUCGUCGCUGCAAGGCGACACCGCAGGGUGGAUAUCUGCGGGUACUCAUCAUUUCAUUUCAUGGUUGUAUUGCUUCACAUUUGCAGAUUGUUAACACAACAUGCCUUCUGUUUAGUUAAUUCAUUAAUCAAACAUGAUCAAAUAUACAACAUACAAAUUGUUAGAAUUGAGGUCAAGUGUAGAGUGUAGAGAAAGAUUAAGUUGAAGCUAGCUAGCAAAGGUGAUAAUAAUUAAGGUCAAGUGAGUGUGAACACAUUCGGAAUUAGGGAAUGCAUCUUUCUUGUUGCCCACGGCAAUGCGUUCUCAUGCUAUAAAGGGUAGUAACUGUGUAGUGGACGAUUCAUCAUCAACCCAAUUAUAUAAAGUGGUUCAUCAUAUAUCAGAUUCAAACCCUAAGCUAGCUAGUAGUCCAAAUUUUAGAUUAUAAUUCUGUUUCAAAAAUCCAUUCAGGACAACGCUAGCUAAACAUGGUUCCGAACGAAAAAAUACAGAAACGAUUUAGGCAUUGCUUGCGUAUCUCAUCUUGUAAAAACGUACAACUUACAAUACACUUAAUUUCGAACAUUGUUUGAGUAUCUCAUCUUCUUCGUUGAAAGGCAACACCGCAGGGUGGAUAUCUGCGGGUAGCCAUCAUUUCGUUUCUUGGUUGUAUUGCUUCAUAUACUCGUAAAUUUUUAUCGACUCCAAGUUUCUUAAAGACAUCCAUAAUUUGAACAACAAAAGGAUUUCAUUACUUUCGAUAUCUACGUACACAUGUACUUGUUGUUGCCUUCCGUGACCGAAACCAUACUCUUCACAUAUACAACGGGCGAAUGAUUUGCUUUGCACAGUGGCAAAUAAUACGGUUGCGGAGGAAAAAUGGGAUUGAUCCUUACAGCACUUUGAAUGGGAAGAUUUUUAAGCUUCUUAGUACGGAAGUUAUAGCAGACUAUGCCUCCAUUUUCCUCUACUGUAAGAACCUCGUCGCUUUUCCACAUUGGCAAGCCUCCAUUUCCCUCUACUGUAAGAACCUCGUCGCUUUUCCACAUUGCCAAUGUGGAGUACAGGGGCAAGCCGGACCUUGAGAAUGAUGGGAUCUUGGCAGCAAAGUGUUUUGUCCAAACACCACCCGCAUUUUUCGGACCACCACCAGAAUCAUCAUCCAUUAGCCACAAUUCAAAGGGUGGUGUAUCACCAUCUUCAAAGGUAUUACGAUUCAAGCGAAAGAGAGCGAUGGAUUCAUUCCACACCUUAAGACGCAUUUCAAUACCAAUUCCUUCGAAAUUGUUGAACUCUACCAUCUCAUGUGGUAACAGUAUGUCAUGAAACACCUCACGACUCAUGUCAAACCAAACGAUCACUCGCCUAAUUUUUUCUUGCUCGGGAUAGGUGACAUCAUAGCUAUCGGCAAAUUCCUUUUGUUGCUCACUUCCUAUCCAAUAACACAUCCCCUUGAAGUACACCUGAAAAGUUUCAGGCCAAAGGAAAGUAGUUUCCGUUUCUAAAGAAUAAGGCUCGAUCUCCCUCCAAGAAUUAGUUCCUAGGGUAUACACUACUACCUUGGGAGGAUGAAUAAUCAAAUGUUCUGUGCCGCCAUGCAAUUCUGAACCAGAAAAUCCAAUUUUGACAACUUUGUAAUCUUUAGAUUUAGGAUCAUAGCCUAAUCCCAAAACAUCGUCGAACCGAUCUGUUAGUGGCAUGUAAGGCAUAGACAACCACCAAGGAUGAGGAUCCCUAAAGGAUGCUUCGUCGAACCAAUCUGGACUGUAUGUCUCCGAGGGAAGGACCCUGAAUUCCUGAAUUGCCGGAUUCCACAAAAGCACCUUAGUAGAAUUAGGACGAGCUAGACAAAUGAUCCCAUCACAAUGACCUAUAACAUGAAAUGAUUGAUCAUCUCCAAUCUCCAGACUCAUAGAAAGAGGAAUAUUGACGUCCUCGAUCCCAGAAAGAGUGCUACACUUGUGCACACCACCAUCGUCAUCAUCAACAAUGACAUUGUCAAAAGUAAGUACUGAGAAUACGGAUUGAAAUUUGUCCCCAUUUGGGUCCUCCGUAGAAGGGACUAACAUUCGCUUCAGAAGGACACGAGUGGACUGAUCGUCCAGCAAGGAAUGGGAGAGGUGCUUGUCGACGAACCUGGGGUCGUUGAUGAGAGCAUGCCACCAUUUAGCGACGCACUUGAAUCGCAUCAGAGAUUUCGGAGGCAGAGUUGACAGAUAUUCACCAACAAAUCUUGUCCGAUUUUGGAUGUUUUGUUCGUCAUUUGUGCAAUGUCAAUUAUGGACCUCACCCUUGUUCUACGAUACACACAAAGACCAACACAACAAGAUCAGAAGAUUCCACAAUUACACAUUCUCUCUAAUUAAGCAUAUUCUCAAAAGCUCAUCAUCAUCUGGUAUUGCUAUUUCUUGUUAAAAAAAAAAAAAAAAACUCAUGGAUACAUUCAAAAAUUUAGCCCUACUGAAAAUGCCAAUUGAAAUUCAAAAGCGAAAUAAGAAUCGAAGCAAAAAAAGUAUCCUUCUUUCAUUUAAAAAAAAAUAUAAAAACUGAAAUUGAAUAAUAAAAAGUUAGAAAUGAGGUUACCUUGUUGUAGACUAGGCAGUAGGAAGAGGAAGAGACCGAAGCAGAAGCAGCGCUGUGAGUGAGAGGGAAAGGGGCAGACUCGGCGCAGAAAAUGUAUUUUCUGCGUUUUGUUCGUGCAGCUGCGUGCGAUAAUGCGAUGGCAGAGAGGGGUUUUUAUUUUGAUUCUUGUGCGACCGAUUUCCACACCCUCCCAAAUUUACGAACUUACGCUCCCAAAUUCGGCCGCGGUUUGCAGUCUUCAAUUCCGUGUCUUAAUUGUGUAUGUUCUCUUAACUUUUUAACAGAUGUCUAUAAACUUAACUUUUAAUUUAACGGUGCUAUCUUUUCAAAAGACUAAUAUAACAAAUAAAAAGAAAUAAAAGAAAAACAAAAGGUGCCUAACUCUCCACCUACCCCAUAACACUAUUGAAUUGGUGUUAUCACUGUUUAAUUUAACGGUGUUAUCUUUUUAGGGGAUACUGUCGUUUUUCUUUAAUUUUUAGUUUUUUUCUUCAAAUGUUAACACUGUUGAAUUGGUAUUAAGUUGAAGCAUGAGUCACUAAGUUAGAAAGAAGACAUGACGAAGACACUAGUUUAUGGACAUCAGACUCUUGGGCCUCAAUUUGUAAAUCAGAUUAAUAGUCUCCGUGGUGAUAGAGUAUUCGGAGGAAAGUCUAUGUAGUAAAAAGAUUGCCGAGCUCUUCCAGCGGCUCUACUCCAAGCCCAGCCGUGACGCCUGCUCCCUCGUUUGCAAGCGCUAGCUUGCCCUCGAGCGCCUCAGCAGCACUGCCCUUUGCAUUGGCGGCCGACCGGUAUAUCGAUAGCUUAUUUGUUGGGUUCGUUAGGCAAGUGGGCAAGAAGAUUCGCCUACAGCAGCUGAUGCAGAUUCAGAAUUGUUAUUCUUGGGACUCAACCCAAAGACACAUCUGUUCUCAAAGUGCGUGACGUUUCGUGUGCUUGGGCGAGACCCACUCUUAUUUUUCAGUUUUGGUUUUCAGUAUAAGUAUUUUAACUUCAUUUCCUCUAGUUAUUUGUUUUUGUCGUUAUAAAUGUUUUUGGAAAAGUAUUUCUGUUUUCAUUUUUAAGUUGAUUCGAGCUUUUCAUCUAUAUGUUAGUACAUAUCUAUUUUGACGUUAUCUGACCUUAAAUUAUUUUGUGUUUUCGACUUUAUAUUUUAUUAAAGUAUGUUUUCUACUUUUACACUGAUGGGGAAAGAAAGUAUGAGCCUGGGGGCACGAAAGAUGGAAUCAUUGCAGCCAAUUGCGACGGCGUGGCAUUUUCCCUUUUGUGUAACCGCUCUUACCUAAUAUCUUCGUUACAUAUAUGUAUAUUAUUCUUCUUCCUAUUUUCGAAUAUUUUCAGUCUAGUAAGUGAUUUUAAAUUUCGAGGACGAAAUUAUUUUAAGGGGGGUAGAUUGUUACAACCACCCCCAAAUAAUUACACCAUUUGUUAUUUCCACCCCCAGCUGCCACGUGUCAAUCAUUAAACCUCCCCUAUUUUCCCUCUCUACGUCCCCUCACCCCCGUGACCUUCUUCUUCUUCGUCUCUCUCUCCCAAAGCUCUCUCAACUCUCCCUGUAGCUCUCUCUCUCAACCUCUCGCAUCUCUCUCUCCCUGGACUCACUAGAACCUUAGCACCUUCAGGAGAGGCUUGUAGCAAGCCUAGGACCCCUCUGCCCGCGAGAUCGAAGACACGGAGCAAAGCUCCGGUGAGCUUUCUUCCUUUUUAAGUGGGGGUAAGUCUCGAAUCCCUCAUUCUCGUACCUAGCUUAAUGUUUGGUUAUGAUUUAGAAGCUUGAACCUUCUAUUUUUACGUAGAUUUUGCUUCGGAAAUCAUUGUGGGUGAGCACACCCAUUUUCCGGCGAACCCAUGGACUUUGGAGGCUUUUCCGGUCACCUCCGACCGAGUUACGGUGUUUGGAAGGUAGAAAUCUCUCUCUCUCUUGGUUCUUCAUGUUUGUACCUAGAUUGGAGCUCGAAGCUUUCGUUUUCAAGUGACCGGAGCUGUAGCAGCUCCGGCCUUCUCUCUCGGCAAACCAGGCCAUCCGGCCUUUCCCAUUUCCUCCCCUCGGGCCUUAGGCCCGUGUUGUCUUAAGCCCAAAACCCUAGCCCCCUUUAGUUUUUUUUAAGCUUUGUUAAUUGGUUUUUAAAACCCAAAAAGGGCUCGGGCCUUAUAUAAUUUGGCCUUGGGCCGGUUAUAUAUUAAAGGGCUUAAAGCCCUGUCCUUUUUAAUAAGGCCUUAAGGCCUUUGUGUUUUGGUGGUGUGUGUGUGUUUGGGGAGUGUAUAUGUUUGGGCUUAAGCCCAAACCCCAAUUCUCACCUUAAUACCCUUUUAACCCAAAAACCCUAGGUUUCUAAAACCCAUUUAAAACCCUAAACCCAUCCAAUCCCAAAUCCCCUAUUUUAUUUAAUUCAAACCCAAUCUUUUAGAAAAUCCUUUUAUUUAUCUAUUACAUUUUUGUGCUUAGGUAAAGUUGCUAGUGGAGAAAUUCUAUAUCCUUAUUCACGCGAUUCAUCUGCUAAAGAAUAUUUGUGAGUGGACCCUUUCUAAAAUUACAUGAUUUUAUAAUUUAAUUGCAUAAAUGAUUAGUAUGCCUACGGAUUUAUGAAUUGAUUUAUGUUAAGCCUGUUUUUGGAAUUUAUUGAUUUCGUCUCGUGUUUUGGUGAGGAAAUAAAUUGCUAGCCUAGUUUGAGCUAUAUUUUAAUACAUCGUAUUUUCUAUAAAAACCAUGAACUGGUAGACUAUUUGAUGGAUGACGAUAGGAUGCUAGAACAUGUUUUAGAAACCCCUCUUUAUAGUAUAGACAAUGGAUGACUUUAUACUAUGAAGUGGUUAUUUAUGAGAGGCGUAACUAUUUGUGCGUACCUAGCAGACACUAUGCCGUCUGGGGCGAGGAACUGGUGUUGGCAUUUAGGCCGGGAGAAAUAAUCCCUAGCUACGGGCUGAGGGACAUGGAGCAAGCAUUGGGCCGGGAGUUGGUAAUCUCUGGUUACGGGCGCAGAGACCACGGAGCAGGUAUUGGGCCGAGAGUUAUAUUUAUUUAGUGAUCUUUCUAGCAGCACACCACGUUUACGAGAUGAUUUAUGAUGCGUUUACUGUUUUGAUUUCUGCAAUGAUAUUCCACGAUGUGAUUUUUGAGAUAUUUGGCAUGCUAGGUUUUUUAUUAAAUUCAUCACUUAUUAUGCUAGUAGUUUUCAUUUAUAUAAACUUUGGGGGUUAGUAUGUUGAUAACUAAUUUAUUAUUAUUGUAUAUAUAAACUUGGUCCACUCACCUUUGUUUUGCGCCCCCAUUCAGGACUUAGGAUUAAGGCACUUAAUCCCGGCGUGAAGGCACUUCCGCAGCAGCAUCUUCAGAUCGUCUCGAAUGUAGGACUCACUCCUUUAUUCAUUAAAUUUUAUCUUAAUUCUUCUUAGUGAUUAGGUUUAGUUGUAUGCUCUGAGCAUGUUCCUAAACCUUUUAACUCUUAGUAUUUUAAAUUUCUAACCCGUAUUUAUUUCUUAUUCUUAGCUUUUGUAUCAAUUAAUGGCUUUCGUCACCCUCGGGUGUCGGCCAUCACGUGUCUAUCCUGGUAUUCGGGUAAUAUCAGGAUCGGGGCGUGUCAAAUUCGGCUGUAGUUUGCUGUCGCCAAUUCAGUGUCUCAUUUGUGUUUGCUCUCUAACUUUUUAACAGCGGUCUAUAAACUUAACUUUUAAUUUAACGGUGCUAUCUUUUCAAAAGACUAAUAUAACAAAUAAAAAAAAUAAAAGAAAAACAAAAGGUGCCUAACUCUCCAACUACCCAAUUACACUAUUUAAUUGGUGUUAUCACUGUUUAAUUUAACGGUGUUGAAGCAUGUGUCACUAAGUUAGAAAGAAGACAUGACGAAGACACUAGUUUAUGGACAUCAGACUCCUGGCCCUCAAUUUGUAAAUCAGAUUAAUAGUCUCCGUGGUGAUAGAGUAUUCGGAGGAUAGUUUAUGUAGAUCACUGAGGUCUUCCGGCGGCUCGACUCCAAGCCCAGCUGUGAUGCAUGCUCCCUCGUCUGCAAGCGCUAGCUCGCCCUCAAGCGCCUCAGCAGCACCGCUCUCUGCAUUGGUGCCACCGGCAGCUCAGACUUCGUCGUCGGCCUCUUCACUGCUAAUUUCGCAACGUUCGCGCCGUUCACCUUGAUGAGCACCUUAACCUUUCGUCGAUGAGGCUGCAUUUUGUUUGAGAAAAUGAAUUUCAUUGAUUAAGAGAAUAAAAUUACAAUGUUGUGGUAUGUGUAUAUAUAUAUACACACACUCUCACAUAACUUUAACCUUCUAAACACCUUGCGACCUAUACAACAAUCUCAACUAAUUACUAAUCUAAUACAACAACCAAAACAAACAAACUAGCUCUAAGUUUUAUCACCAAUUGAAUCUUUAACAAUACUAUCCAUAACAUCCCCCCUCAAACUAAACUGAGGAGUUCAAAGGGACAGUUUGGAUUUUAAGAGCUGAAACCGGUCUUUGGAAAGAGAUUUUGUGCAUAUAUAUGAAAUUUGAUUUUGAGUGCAGAUAAAAUGGACUGAGAUGGCCUUCGAUAACAACUUUUCUCGAAUGUUGUGGUAGUUGAUCUCUACAUGCUUUGUUCUAGCAUGAAACAAAGGAUUUUUGGCAAGAGAGAUAGCUAAUUGAUUAUCACACUAGAGUUGAGGAGUACAUGUGUAACAACCCGUCCCAAUUUUUUACGGAACGAAAGGGUAAUGUUGUAAUUUCAUGUUGGGUUAGGAUAUUGGUUUAAAAUAUUGUUUUUGAGGGCCUAAAUAGGUGUGCCCAAGGGGCCCACCUAUGGAGUUUGUUCGCGACCCUCUCCCUUGUCUCUCUCUCUUUCUUCCCUCCUAUGAGUCUCACUAUCUUUUUCACUUUAUCUCUAUCACUCUUACUUCUCUCCCUUCUCUCUCGGCAAGUACCGAAGGGUGCCAUGGGGGAAAGCACCACCAGAGAAACCACCCAUUUCACCCUAUAGACCUUACGAGCUCGAACUCGAGCCCUGUUACGUAGGAAAAACCGAGCCGUGAGACUCUAACUCCAAGCUUCGACGAGAACAAAGUUCCUCGACGCGACUUUGAAUGAUUUUGUAACCUUUUUGGUUUGGGUAAGCCUCAAAACACUCCAAAUGCUUAUCUUUUCGUCCCUAUAGUUCUUUUCUAACCACGUUGUUGUGUUUUGAACAUCAAAAUACGAAGAAACACCUCGAAGGACUAUGUUCAAUGGUUUUGUGCUUAUCUAGUGGUCACUAUACCGCCACGGGUGAGGAUUAUAGUUGUUGGCUGCGGGCUAAGAGAAAUAAUCUCUGGCUACGAGUGCAGAGACAUAAAAGCGGGCAUUGGGUCAGGAGAUAAUAUUAUUGGAUACCACUAUGUAUCACACUAUAUAGGAGAUAUGUUUUAUGAAGGUUUUAUGACAUGCUACGAUUUUCGGAAAACCUAUUACAUAUUAUACUAUUGAAUUUCCAUAAAACUUUGGUGGUUAGUAUGUUGAUAAAAGUUUUAGUAAGUGUGUGUGUAUAUAUAUAUAUCAACUUGGUCCACCCAUGUUUGUUUUAUGCCCCAUCAGAACUUAGAAUCGCUGCGUACAAUCUCGACGUCAAGGCAUUUCCGCUUCGGCAGCUUCGAGUCCUCUUAGUGUAGGACCCAUUCCUUUGCUCCUUCAAUGUUAUAUUAUUUUCUUUUUAGUGUUCUAGAUUAGUUGUAUGCUCCGAACACGUUCAUCAUUUGCAUAUUAAAUAUAAUUAAAUUUAUAAGUCUUAUAUAUUUCGGGUUCUCAUGCAUUCUAAUAUGGCUUCGUCACCUUCGGGUAUCGGCCAGCACGUUCUUACCCUGAUGUUUGGGGAAUAUCAAGGUCGGGCAUGUCAACAUGGAAGAUGGAAACCAAUAUCAGCAAGUAAUUGACAUAUCCAUGUAAUUUCAUCUAUAGUAUUAGCUAAAGAUCGAUACUCUGCCUCUGUUGAAGAACGAACCACUGUUGAUUGCUUCUUAGCAUUCCAACCGAUGAUAGAUGAACCCAGAAAAUACAAUAAGUGCUAGUUGAUCUUCGAUGAAGUGUGAAAGCUGCCCAGUCAGCAUCUGAUAAGGCUUUGAGAGAUGGAAUAGAGACAGAUUUUGUAAACCAAAGACCAAUGUCAAUGGAACCCUUAAGAUAUCGAAUGAUCCUUUUGACAACUUGAAAAUGAGACUGCCUUAGACUAUGCAUGAAUUGACUGUAAAUGAUAAUUUUGGCCGAGUCCAAGUAAGAUAUUGUAAUGAACCAACCAAAGGUCGAUAUCUGCAGGAUUAUCAAACAAUGGAGAAGAAAGAUCCAUCUUGGAUGUACUGAGUGGGGUAGCACAUGGUUUUGCUCCAGCCAUGUUAGCCUUCUUUAAUAGAUCCAAGAUAUACUUUGUUUGUGAAAUGAAGAUGCCUUUGGAGGAUCGCUUGACUUCAAUUCCCAGAAAAUAAUGAAAUGCACCAAGGUCUUUAAUAAGAAAGAGAUAGCUAAGUUGAGAAAUAACAUGCUUGCAAGCUGCUGCAGAUGGCCCUGUGACAGUAAUGUCAUCAACAUAUAUCAGAACAAAGACCAUAAGAUCCCUUUUGACAAACAAUGAAUGAUCUAAUUUGGAACCAGUGAAGCCAAAAGUGUGUAAUGCUCCAUGGAGUUUUUCAUACAAGGCUCGGGGAGCCUGUUUAAGACCAUAUAGGGAUUUAUGCAAUUGACAACAUGAGUAGGAUGAAUAACAUCUUCAAAACCAGGCGGCUGUUGCAUAUAAACAGAUUCAGACAAUGUCUUACGCAGAAAAGCAUUGCUUUCAUCUAGUUGAUUGAGACUCCAAUCAAAUUGGGCAGCAAGAGUGAGUAGGAGUCGAAUUGUCACAGGCUGGGCUACUGGACUAAAAGUCUCAGUAUAAUCAAGUCAUUCUUACUGAUGAAAACCUUUGGCAACUAAGCAAGCUUUGUACCUAUCUAUGGUACCAUCAGGUUUUGCUUUUAAUCCUGAUAACCCACUUACAUCCUACAAUGUUUUGAUGAGCAGUUUUGGGUACUAAGGACCAAGUACCAGUUUGUUGUAAGGCAAGAAACUCCUCCUGCAUUGCCUUAACCCAAUGUGGAUAUUUGGAAGCUUAGAGAUAUGUAGUGGGAACAAAUUCAUUGGAAAGAUAAGAAAUGAGAGGAUGUUUGGUUGCAGAAAAGGCUUUUGGUUUGUAAAUACCAGAUUUGGACCUGGUUUGCAUAAGGUGAGUAUUAGUAUGAACCGAGUGAGAUGUAGGUAUAAGAGAUAUAGGUAUAAAGGUUGUUAGAGAAUAUAGGAGAUUGAGAUGAUGGUAUAGGGGAAUAGAUCUGUGGUUAAGUGAAUGUGAGGUGCAUGGGAAUGGUAUUGAGAGAUGAAGCUGCUACUGAGGAAAGAGAGCACUGUGAAGCUACAAUAGUGUGAAAGGGAAAAUUGCCUUUAUCAAAGAUCACAUUUCGUGAGAUGUAUAACUUGUUGCUAGUGAGAUCCAAACAUUUGUAACCUUUGUGGUUGAGGCUAUAACCAAGGAAUACACAGAGCUUGCUUUUGGGAUCCAAUUUAGACUCAUAGUAAGGUUGCAACCAUGGAAAACAACUACCCCCAAAAACCUUCAAGGUGGCAUAGUUAGGUGAUAUGUGGAAGAGACGUUCCUAUGGAGACAAUCUGGAUACAGUAGGUAAUCUGUUUAUGAGAAACAUAGCAGUGGAAAAAACAUGAUCCCAAUAGCUGUGAGGGACCUUAGAAACUGUUAAAAGUGUUCUGGCAGUCUCAACUAUGUAUAUGUGCUUAGGUUCAACACAACUAUUCUGUUGAGGGGUGUAUAGAUAACUUAGUCAAUGAUUGAUACCAUUCUCAAUAAAGAAAUUAGAGCAUUGAGUGCUAAGAUAUUCCCCACCAUAAUAUGAUCUAAGAGCAGCAAUUUUAGUAUGCAACAAGUUCUCAACAAGACUUUUGAACUUAACAAAAGUAGGAAACACAUCAGAUUUAUAUUGCAAAGACAAAGCCAACAAUAUUUUGUAAAAUCAUCUACAAAUAUGACAUAGUAUCUGAAAUUGUUCGCAGAAAUGAUAGAUGUUGGCCCCUAAACAUCUGUGUGAAGUAGCUCUAAAGGUUUACUGGUAUGAAAAGUAUCUGGAAUUGUUCACAGAAGUGACAGAUGUUGGCCCCCAAACAUUUGUGUGAAGUAGCUUCAAAGGCUUACUGGUAUGACAAGUUACAUAAGCAAAUGGCAAUCUAGAACUUUUGCUUAAGGUACAACCAUUACAGAAAGACUUAUUGGAACCAUUAGAAAAAGAAAUAAAAGACUUAGUAACCAACUUAUUGAGAAUCUUCACCGAAUGAUGGCCAAGUCUUUGGUGCCAAAUAUUUUUGGAUGUGUUAACAGAAGCAGCAAACACAUUGUGAUUAUGGAUCACAAAACUGGAAGGCUGUGGUUGAAAUGGAUAGAAGCCAUCUCUCACAGGACCUUUAAAGAGCAUCUUCCCCGAAGAAAUAUCCUUCACAGUGAAAUGAAAAUGAUAAAGAUACAUAGAACACCAAUUGUCAACAAGAAACGGAUUUGCAGAAAGCAAAUUUUGUUUCAAAUCAGGAACAUGUAACAUAUUUCGAAGUUGAAAAUUAUGAUGAGGAGUAUUUAAUGUAGAAAAACCAGAGUGGAGAAUAGGAAAACCUUUAAAAAGUGUUGUAAGAAUUGGUCAUGUGAAUACUAGCACCGGAGUCAACAAUCCAAGUAAGUUGAGGAGAAUGUGUGCUUGCAGCCAUAACAGAAUGAGAAACAUUGCUGGAAUAAUGUGGAUUCAUGCGCUGGGGACACUCGAUUGCAUCAUGCUCAAACUAGCGACAAAUUUGGCAUGGAAUCCUCCUUCCUGAGAAAUUGAAGGAUGAUCAACCACCACGGUUGUAGUGCUGAGAAUUGUUGGGAGAAGAAUUUGGACAAUUGUUGUUAGAACGGAAGUUGCUUCGUCCCUGAAAGUUUCUAGGGUUGGAGAAACCAUGAUCGCCACCACGACCUUGAGAGAAAUUAUGAUCACCACCACGACCUGGAGGAUUAUGUUAAGCAACAAAAUCCUGAGAAGGCGAAGUAGGAAGAAUGCCGGCGGUGGAGUUGUAUGCCUGAAUUGACACUAUCGAAGUAGUUUUCUUCCGAUUUGUUAGCUGAAUCUCUUUAUUGAGAAGGAGACCAUGCAGCAUCAAGUGUGGUGGAACCAAGUCGGAAUUGUAUCGCAUCAACAAAGAUUCGUACUCUGGUGGUAACUCAUGAUGUGUGAUAGAGGUUAAUUCAGAAUCCUCAACUGGAGCACCGACACUAGCAAAAGCAUCAGUGAUCUCUUCAAUUUGUUGAGGAUAUUGGGCAGCUAUGGAAUCGCCAUUCGAAAUGCUGUGCAGACAUGAUCAGAGCUCGUGGAUGUACAAUUGAGACGUCGUCGCAAGGCGUGACUCCAAUCUUGCCUAAAGCUCUCUGGAUGUAGUAACUCCAACAGUGUAAGGUUGAUCGAUUUAGAGAACGUGGAAUUGAUCCAAAUGAGGAUGUUCUUAUCGUUCUCGAACCAAUAAACAUAUGCCGGAUUCAGAAUUUGAUUUCCAACAGCAUCAGUGAUGAAUUAAGAUGGAGGAGGCAUCGAUCCAUCAAGAAUUCUAGUGAGAUUAUAGUGAAGGAAGAUCGGAGCAAACAAUGCACUCAAGGUGAGAUAAUUGGUCGGAGUCAGCUUGAUCGGCACCAUGGAUCUGAUAUUCUAGAUCGUGAUUGAAGGUGUGGAAAGAGUAUAACUCGAAUUUGAAAGAGGAUUACGAUGAAUUUGUGUUACAAAUUCGGAAGAGGGAGAAGCUGAGGUCUCCAUGGGAGAAAGUUAGGGUUUGGCAGUGAAAGCUUAGCGAAGAAGCUUAGGAAGGAAGAAAGCUUAGCGAAGAAGCUGGAGAAGGGAAAGCGUGGAUUGGAUCAAGUCGGUAGACAGAAGGUGGGUGAUACCAUGUUAGACAAAAUUAAUUUCAUUGAUUAAGAGAAUAAAAUUACAAUGUUGUGGUGUGUGUGUGUGUGUGUGUGUGUGUGUGUGUAUAUAUACUUUCACAUAACUCUAACCUUCUAACCACCUUGCCACCUAUACAACAAUCUCAACUAAUUACUAGUCUAAUACAACAAUCACGACAAACUAAGUAGCUUUAAGUUUUAUCACCAAUUGAAUCUUUAACAAUACUAUCCUUAACACAUUCUGCCAAUGGCUCCAACAACAUGCUUGAUUUGAAUAGCUUAUAGGAUGCCAGUAUGACUGCUAUCAGCGACAGAUUUCCCGGGCUCGAAAAUCUGAGCUUAAUCUGGUGCUCCAAUGCCUUUAGUAUCGGUCUAAUUUUGCUGAUAAGUGUAAAUUGUUGAAAUCAUUGGAUUUGUUAGAGUUGAAUUUGAAUGCUUGAAGCCUGCAAUUCUUCGUUUGAAUACUUAACUAGAAAUUAUUGGUACAUUCCUAAAUGGGUUACAUUUGGGGUACUGUCUUGCAAUCUUGUUUUGAAUACUACCCCAAACUUUUUUUUUGAACAAACGAUAUUAUCUACACCAAUGAUGACUACAAUCCCCUGAGUUUAUCUUUUGUUGACCCUAAAAACUAUUUGGGCCUAAACACCUUCCCAUGUAUGCCUCUUAGCCACCAAAAUAAUCCAUCAGCUAGCUCAAUUUGCCCUUCACAGUAGUUGUUUUUGUUGUUUAGUUAAGGAUUUCUAGAAAUUAGAAACUUUUUUUUUUUGUUCCCUCAUUUAUGGCUUGUUAAUACAAGCUAUCGUUGCAUACAUAUAAAAAAAAAGAAAGAUGUAGCCUUAAGCCAACCAUAUUUUUUAAAAUUAUUAUUAUUAAAUGGACGAUUCAAAACUUUUAUAAUAACUUAGAUGAGGAGGGAUGUUCGAACCUAACACGCAAGGUACAAAUCAACUUCCAAUCUACUAGGAUAAUGGACCACAUGCAUUAUGCCUAACCAUAUAAAUAUCAUGGAUUGAUAGCCUUACUCGAUAAUUUCUUGUAAAACGAUCUUUGAAUCUCAAAAAUUGGUAAAAUUUAUUUAUUUUAAUACAUUCGAUAUUAUCUAUACUAAAGGGUCGAAGAAUGGCCAAACCUCACAGCGGCUAGUAAUAUUUCUUUUGUUUUAAUGCCUUUAGUCACAUGUAUAAGGAAAUUUAUAUUUCGUUCAUUCACUAAUCACCCAAGAAUCAUAUUCAUAAAGUAAUUAUCCAAAAUUUAAAACAAAACACCAAUAAAUAAUCCAAAUACAUAGAAAAAAAGUAAUGCUAGGAAGGCUAAAUUUGUAAACAAAAUUUGCAAACCAAAUGAUGUGUCACCAAUAAGGAAUGAUCACAUUUAUCCUUUUUUAAUUAAUAAUCCAAUCAACAACUUCAAUGUCAUUUAAUUCACAAAAUUGUCUUUAAAUUUAGUCUCCCUAAGGACCCUAACAUUACUCCAUAGAAAAUUGUUGAAAAACUUGAACCAAAUAUUAAGAGGGCGUUUAGCCAAUAGGGGGAACUCGGACACAUGUUGGUCCCUGUUUAAAAGUUUUAAUCUUCCAUCGGUGUAGAUGACUUUUGAAAAUAAAAAAACUACAUAGUGGAAUGUUCGGGAUUAUCAACUUGAACAAAGUUAGUCUGUAUGACUUUACGACGUGAAUGAUACUUAGCAACAACAUGAGCAAGUGCUCGGCAAAUGCAUGACCAAUAGUCCUUGGAACCACAACGGUAACAUAUGUCUAUUUCUAUGGUGGUUGUGCCUUACCUUUAUUCUUGAGGUUGAAAGAUUUGGGAUCUAGAGAAUCGCGCUUUGAAACCACAACGGUAACACAUGUUUAUUGGACCCCAAAAGUGUGGCAAGCGGCGUUCGUUAUGGGAAGCUGAGAUAUCCACCAAAACAUGAAGCCACAGGGUAUUCUCUUGUUUACAAUCAGCUCCACCCUUUUGAAGGCUUCCAAAAUUACACUUCCGGAAUCAUCCACCAUGUUCGUCUCACAGGUUUGAUUUCGUUUACUUCUUAUUUUCUUCAAAGUUUCAAUGGAGAAUUACAAAGUUGGGUUUUGCUGAAAUGACUGAACUUUUAAAUCCCCCAAACAUAAGUUUUGAUGGAAUGUGGUUCUUCUGAUAAGUUGGUGAUCUAAUUGUUGUUUUGAUGUAGGGUUGAAACUGAAUACACUGUAUUUUUAACGAUGCGGGGAUCCUUCUAUACCUGCAAUGAGUGAAAUCCACCAGUUCAAGACUAUGUCAGUUUCUGGUCCUCGGAGCUACCCUGAGAGAAUAGCGGUUGUGGGAGACAUUGGCCUUACAACACAACUACCACAAUAAGUCACUUGACAAGUAACAAUCCUGAUCUUGUUUUGUUGAUUGGUGAUGUUACUUAUACAAACCUCGACCACACACAAAUGGAACUGGCUCUGACUGCUAUUCUUGCUCAUUUCCAAACUCUCCGAUACAUGAGACCUAUCAGCCUCGAUGGUUUUACUGGGGAAGGUUAAAAUAUAAAUUGCUUUAUUUCUAUCAUAGGCAAUGGCUGCUGUAAAUUAUGGCAUAGAACUUGUUUUCUUAUGUUGUCAUUGCUGGGUAAUUUGUGUAGGUAUAUGCAGAGUUUAGUGUCCAAAGUUCCAAUAAUGGUUGUUGAAGGGAACCAUGAAAUAGAAGAACAGACUGAAAAUAAGACUUUUGAGGCUUAUAGUUCUCGGUUUGCAUUCCAAUCUGAAGAAAGCGGAUCUUCGUCCACAUUCUACUACUCAUUUAAUGCAGGGGGGAUUCAUUUUAUCAUGCUUGGAGCCUACACUGACUUUAGCAAAUCAAGUAAUUAAAGUUUGCCUAAUUUUUGAGCUCAUUCCUUGCCUAAAUAUUCGUAUUUUUGCAUUUCUUUUUCUUUACAAAUGGUUUCGUUAUUGUUUCUAUCCCCAUUAAUCAGUGAUUUCUUUGCCUACAGGGAAACAAUACAAGUGGCUGGAGCAAGAUUUGGCUAAUGUGGACAGAUCUGUUAAAAGUUAAUGCUUUACUUAAACUGAUUCUGCUAUACUGAAACUGAUUCUGUGUAAAAGGGCUGACUGUUGCCUUUAUCAGUCGACCCAUUCUCUUUCUCAGUCGACCCAAUUACUUCAGUCGGCUUAUGUAUUGAGCCAUAUAUAUCAGAAAUAUCUGAAUGAAAAUAUCAAAUCUCUGUUUUAAGUAAAAAACAUCAGCCCUCUGUUUCCAAAAAAGCUCUCUGCACUCUGUUUCUUUGAUUUUCAAUCUUUAUCAUUUUAUUCAAGUUUUAUUAAUGAUGAAAGAUUGUCUAAUACCAACAUGGUAUCAGAGCCAAUCUGAUCAAAGAGUGGGGCGUUUUUUUUUAUUCUCAAAAAAGGGGAAAAUUCCAAGUGAAACCCUAGAAUCAAAAUUUUUCAAAUUCAUGGUUGGUUCAAGUAGCAGUGGUGAGAUUCGAACUCCUAUCUUCAGUGGAGUAAACUACGACUUCUGGAGGACAAAGUUGAGAACAAUUUUUGUAUCUCAUGAUUUGUGGAGCUUGAUUGAAGAUGGCUAUGUUGUACCUCCAAGCAAUGUGGUUUUGACAGAGACUCAAACAAGGGAGUUGAAGGUAAACAUCAAGAGAGAUGCAAAAGCUCUUGGGGUCAUCCAAAAUGCUAUCUCAGAUGAAAUUUUUCCGAGAAUCUCAAAUGAGACAAGUGCCAAAUCAGCUUGGGAUAUGCUGGAGAAAGUCUACAGAGGUUCUACUAAGGUAAGGGCUGUCAAACUCCAAUCUUUGAGAAGAGAUUUUAAGUAUAUAAGAAUGAAAGAUGAGGAAUUGCUAGAUGAUUACCUGAGUAGAUUGUCUGAGAUUAUUAAUCAAAUGAAAAGCUAUGGUGAAAUCUUGUCUGAUGAGAGAAUAGUUCCGAAGUAUCUAAUUAGCUUGCCAAGAAAGUAUGACAACAUAGUUUCAAUCAUAGAGGAGACUAAGGAUUUGUCAACUUUGAGUGUUGAAGAAUUGAUUGGUUCUCUCAAAGGUUUUGCUCAGAGAUUAUCUAGGCAUGACAACAAUGAUGUAGAAAAUGCUUUCCAAACACUUACAGUGAAUCCAAAAACUCAAGCUAGUUCAAGUCAAAGCAAAGCCAACUCCAACAAGAAUUGGAAAGGCAAAAACAAAGCGUGGGAAGGAAAGGGUAAUUUUGAAGACAAGAAAAAGGUUGAGAAGAGUUUGUAUGUUUCGAAGUGCAAAAUUUGUGACAAAGCUCAUUCCGGUGAAAUUGGUUCAAAGGAAAAGUGAAAUGCCACAAGUGUAGCAAAUUCGGGCAUAUGCAAAAGGAUUGUACCUACAAAGAUAAUCAGCUAGCUCACUACACCAAAGCAGAAGAUGAAGAGACCAAUAUGUUUUAUUUUGGUCAUGAUACAACCGUCCAAGAAGAAGCUAAAGUUUGGUUUGUGGACAACGGCUGUAGCAAUCAUAUGACGGCGAAUAAGAACAUUCUCCAUAAUGUUGACACUACAAACCUAACCCGAGUGAAGAUGGGAAAUGGGCAGCUAGUCGAUACAUUGGGAAGAGGUACUAUUGCCGUGCAUACGAAGAAUGGAAAGAUGUUCAUCAAGGAUGUCAUGUUAGUUCCUGAUUUGAAGCAAAAUUUGCUAAGUCUUGGACAACUCAUUGAGCAUGGCUACUACUUAUAUUUUGGAGACAAUACUUGCAAGAUAUAUGAUACGAGGAAUCGUCAAUAACUCGUGGCUAAGAUUGAGAUGAGGAAGAGUAGAAGUUUUCCUCUCACAAUUGAGUAUGCAACUCAAUCUGCAUUCAAGAUGGAAGUGCAAGAAGAUUCAAAGCUAUGGCAUAAAAGGCUUGGCCACUUGAAUUUUCAAAGUCUCAAGAAGCUACAAGAAAAAGAAAUGGUGCAUGGGUUGCCGAGUAUCCAAGAAAAUGAAGAAAUCUGUGAAAGGUGUGCACUUGGGAAGCAUCAUAGAGAUUCAUUUCCACAUGGUAAAGCUUGGAGAGCAAAAGUUCCAUUGGAAUUGAUUCAUACAGAUGUUUGUGGACCCAUGAAGACCUCUACUCAAGUGGGAAACAAGUAUUUCCUAAUCUUCGUGGAUGAUUAUUCCAGAAUGACUUGGGUAUACUUUCUAAGACAGAAAUCAGAAGUGUUCUCAAUCUUCAAGAAGUUUCAAGCUAUGGUUGAGCGACAAUCUGGGUAUCUAAUCAAAGUUCUUAGAAGUGACAGAGGAGGAAAGUAUACAUCCACAGAAUUUGAUAAGUUUUGUCAAGAUAUUGGCUUGGAAAGACAACUUACUGUCAGCUACACUCCACAACAAAAUGGAGUAGCUGAGAGAAAAAACAGAACCAUAGUCGAAAUGGCUAAGGCAAUGUUACAUGACAAGGGAAUACCUCAAUAUUUAUGGGGUGAGGCAGUUAAUACAGCGGUCUACUUGAUGAAUAGGCAUCCAACAGUGGCAGUUGAAGAUAAGACACCAUUUGAGGCAUGAAGUGGAAGAAAGCCUUCCGUGAAUCAUUUGAGAGUGUUUGGGUCAAUCUGCUUUGCUUAUGUUCCGAAAGAACUAAGACAAAAACUUGAUGAGUCAAGUGAAAGAUGCAUUUUCGUAGGCUAUGCUUCAUACACAAAAGGGUACAGACUUUACAAUUUAAAAAGGAAGAAAGUUGUGAUUUGUAGAGAUGUUCUUUUUAGUGAGAAAUCUUCGUGGGAUUGGAAUCAAGCAACCAUCUGAGAAAAAUCUGUACAAAUCAGAAUUGAAGAAGAAAAUCAACCAAAUGAAGAGGAAAUUGAGCCAGAAAUUCCACAAUUAUCACCUGAAAACAGUCCUCAAACUCACUCUCCUACAUUUUCAAGUCCAAGUUCAACGCCGGUUCGAUUAAGGAGCUUAAAUGAAGUCUAUGAAAGCUGCAAUUUUUGUGUUGAAGAACCAGAAAACUUUGAUGAUGCAGUGAAAGAAGAGACUUGGAAGGCUGCAAUGCAAGAGGAGAUCAAUGUCAUUGUGAAAAACAAGACAUGGGAACUAGUGGACAGACAUUGUGACAACUCCGUCAUUUGAGUGAAGUGGAUUUAUAAGACUAAGCUCAAUCAAGAUGGUUCCGUUCAAAGGAACAAAGCUAGAUUGGUAGCAAAGGGUUAUUCUCAGAAACCCGGGAUUGAUUUCCAAGAAACAUUUGCACCGGUAGCUAGGCAUGAAACAAUCAAAGGCCUUAUUUCCGUAGCUGCUCAGAAGGGGUGGUUUCUACACCAACUUGAUGUCAAGUCGGCUUUCCUAAAUGGAGUCCUAAAAGAAAAGGUGUUCGUUGACCAACCUCAAGGAUUUGUUCGUAAAGGACAAGAGCACAAGGUGUAUAAACUUAAGAAUGCACUUUAUGGCUUGAAACAAGCUCCGAGAGCAUGGUAUGGAGAGAUCGACUCAUAUUUCAAUGAAAGAGGUUUUCAAAGAAGUGAGAAUGAACCUGCCCUCUAUGUCAAAACAGAAGGUAUUUCAGAUAUCCUUAUUGUUUCCUUAUAUGUUGAUGAUUUGGUUUAUACUGGAAGUAGUCGUAAUAUGAUCUUGAAUUUCAAGAAUGACAUGAUGAGGAAAUAUGAGAUGAGUGAUCUACGCAUGUUGCAUUAUUUUUUGGGAAUUAGUAUCAUUCAAUCAAAUGAUGGUAUCUUUAUUACUCAAAAGAAAUAUGCAAAAACACUUCUAGAAAAGUUCAAAAUGGUUGGUUGCAAGCCUGUUGCAACACCUCUAGUUGUGAAUGAAAAGUUUCAAAGAGAAGAUGGUAAUGGUGAUGCUGAUGAAUCUGUGUAUAGAAGCCUGGUUGGGAGUUUGUUGUAUUUGACAGCGACUAGACCCGAUAUUAUGUAUGCUGCAAGCUUGUUGUCCAGAUUUAUGCACAAGCCUACUUGCAUUCACUAUGGAGCUGCAAAGAGGAUCCUAAGAUACAUACAAGGUACACUUGACUUUGGUAUUAUGUAUGAAAGGAAUGUUAAGCCCAAAUUGUAUGGGUUCUGUGAUAGUGAUUGGGGAGGUAGUGUGGAUGACUUGAAGAGCACAUCUGGCUAUACUUUUACAUUAGGGACUGGUGUAUUCUCUUGGGCAUCUAAGAAACAGAAAUCAGUUGCACUAUCAACGGCAGAGGCUGAGUAUGUGUCGGCUUCAAUUGCAACUUCUCAAGCAGUGUGGCUGAGAAGAAUUAUGCAAGAUUUUGGUGAGAAACAAGAAUCAGCAACUCAUAUCUUUUGUGACAAUAAGUCAGCUAUUGCCAUGAGCAAGAAUCCUGUCUGUCAUGGUAAAUCAAAGCAUAUUGCUCUGAAGCAUCACUACAUCAGAGGUGCUGUGAAAGACAAGGAAGUGGAUGUGGUCUACUGCAAGACAGAAGAUCAAGUUGCUGAUAUCUUCACCAAGGCAUUACCAAAGGACAGAUUCAUCUACCUAAGAGAACUUUUGGGAGUGAAGCAGCAAAGCAUUAAGAGGGAGUGUUAAAAGUUAAUGCUUUACUUAAACUGAUUCUGCUUUACUGAAACUGAUUCUGUGUAAAAAGGCUGACUGUUGCCUUUAUCAGUCGACCCAUUCUCUUUAUCAGUCGACCCAAUUACUUCAGUCAGCUUAUGUAUUGAGCCAUAUAUAUCAGAAAUAUCCGAAUGAAAAUAUCAGAUCUCUGUUUUAAGUAAAAAGCAUCAUCCCUCUGUUUCCAAAAAAGCUCUCUGCACUCUGUUUCUUUGAUUUUCAAUCUUUAUCAUUUUAUUCAAGUUUUAUUAAUGAUGAAAGAUUGUCUAAAUACCAACAAGAUCCACAACUCCCUGGUUGCUAGAUACUUGGCAUCAUCCCUGGUAUAGUACCUAUGAGGUCCAUUACAGAGAGGCAGAAUGUAUGAGGUUGGAAAUGGAAGAGCUUCUGUACUCUUAUGGUGUAGAUAUAGUGUUCAAUGGACAUGUAAGUAACGAUAACCACCAAUGAUUGUCACAAUCUUUGAUAGGUAACAGGUUUCUUUCUUAUAGCCAGAAACUAUGUGGAAGAAGUGGUAUAAGGGUUCUUCGAUUGAGGCUUUCUUUCAUACCAGUAACCAGAUAGUGAUAGAAAGCUAGAAGGAACUGCAGUUUACGCUUUAAACUUUUGAGAAAACAAAUUUAAUAUGAAAUUAAUUGGUACUUGGUUCCCUUAUUGCUAAAACACAUAACACAAACUUAUUUGAAACGCUAUCAGAAACAAUGACCUUAUCUUGAAACUCGUAUCACAGCAGUACCAUUUGGUUCCGAUCCCAAGCAUGAUUUUAUUAAGUUGUCCUUAGUGUCUAUGAAUGAUGACAAUUUUCCUCAUUGUAACUAAAUAUCUUUUCGCUUUAAAGUGCACUGAAUGUUCUUCUGUUUUCUUGAAUAAAACAAUAGGUUCAUGCCUACGAGCGAUCGAAUCGAGUUUAUGAUUACAACUUAGAUCCCUGUGGUCCUGUAUAUCUCACCGUUGGUGACGGGGGUAAUCGGGAGAAGAUGGCAGUUCAACAUGCUGACGAACCUGGUCGUUGCCCAGAGCCAUCAACUACUCCUGAUCAACACCUAGGUGAUGGUGCCUUUUGUGCAGAGAACUUUACCUCCGGCCCAACAGCAGGUAAAUUUUGUUGGGAUCGGCAACCGGAUUACAGUGCUUUCAGAGAAAACAGCUUUGGCCAUGGGAUCCUUGAGGUACUCCUUUUUCUGUGUUUCUGUUUGGCAAAUAUUCAGUCUGACAAUGCAUUCAAUUGUCUAGAAACGUUAUACUUUAAUUUGUAUGACCCUACACUACAUAUGAUACAACUUGAAAAUGAUUGAUGGAAAGAUGAGCAUGUGCUUGACUGUCAAUGUGCAUAGAAAGACCACACAUGGGUAAAUGUUAUGGAACCAGUUUAAAUCAUUUUUACCAUUCCACUGCAAUGUCAAGAGAAAAUCACUUAGCACCAAUAUCUGUUUAUACAGAGUGCGAAAAUCCUGUGACUGACUUGAAUACCCUUGAUCGGUUAUUGAGUAGCAAACAUAUAGAUGUAGGCUAGUAGGCUACCUGGAUUAUACACUAAGCGUGCAUUUUGAUGUGCAUAACUUGCAGGUGAAGAAUGAGACUUGGGCUUUGUGGACAUGGUACCGGAACCAGGACUCCGACAAUAAAAUUGGAGAUCAAAUUUAUAUAGUGAGGCAGCCUGAUAAAUGCCGCAUCCGCCAUUUGUUCGAAAGUUGGCUUGCUGACCUCUAAUUCUCACUGCUGCUUGCUGGGAAAAAUUUAUUAUUAAGAUCCCAAAUCAAUUGACCAUUCUUAUCUAGAUAGGAAUAGGAUGGAAGGUUGCAGAAAGAGUAGGAAGAUGGGGUUUCACCUAUGUAUACACACUAUAUAUAAGUGGAGGGGGUUUGGGGGGGUGGGGGGUGGGGGAGGGGGCGGGGAGAGAGAGAGAGAGAGCACAGAAGAAGAGCAACUCCGCUGUUGUUGUAUGUAAAUGAUAAAAUCUCGUUUAUACGUCUCCUUUGUAACUUGAAUAUAUACUCUCUCAACCAAUUUAUACAACAACAAACGUGUAAGAUUGGUUCCUGGAGCAAUUUCGGAUAUUGAAUUCUAAACUAAUUGCGUAUUUUGUUGAGUUAUCAAAAAUUUCCCCUCCCCUUAUUGUGAAGCCGAGAAAUUGUUGGAAGUGACUUUUAUACUGUCACAUGGUGUUACCAGUUCACUGAUGUUAUGGUGGUACUGCUUAAAAGGGUGGCGUUUCGACAAAAUCCUUAGCUCGCGAGCUCACAAUGCACCCCGUCCAUAAGUCAUUCGGAGUUUGGACGGAACGAUGAGGUUCGCUACUACCUCCGUACAAAAAACCUUCAACAACUUCCCGUUCAUUGUAUUCUCCAUUAAAUUCCAGGCCAGGGGUUCCACCUCCAUCUCAUAGAGAUUAUCAUCACCUGUUGUUUCUGUGAAUAAUGUAAAUUUCUUACCAAAACAUUUGUAAUAUUGUGCCAAUUAUAUUAUAUAUUUGCAGGAUGCAUAGCAAUUUGGUGUCAGUAAAACUUUGUCUGCCGCAUAUUUGAUCAUGUUUUAACUUCGGAAUUUCAUGGUCUUGUUAAUUUUGACGGAUUUUGAAAGGCUUUUAAAACAAAUUAGAAUCAAACUUUCGAAUUUACUACCCCAAACAAAUUGCACUGCAAAUUACCAUAAUCAGAAUUCAUCAGGUCAUGUACGUACUACAUAACAUUUACUUAGGAUAUGAAAUGGUGAGAUCGAUAAAUUCGAAAUCAUCAUUAUAUUGUUGUUCUUAUUACAUUAAUAUAGAUAUAUGUAGCCACUAUAUAUACCUAUUAGAGUGAAUACGAUACCAAUGCCCCACAAUUUGUUGUCCUGACACAAUCGACCGGAUUCGCUGCGUUGUAGUCAAAACAGAUGACGACUUCCUGCAGAUACGCGAUCCCCCCGUCCUUCUUGCACAUAAGAAGAGGUGUUUUCCCUCCUAUAGUCCGUCGAAUGGCCGAUUCAAGGUCGAUGUAAUGAUAUUGAUAUCCUGGUACAAUCCCAGUUGUUUGAGAAAAUAGAUGUUGUGCAUUGUAGGUCAACCAUAAUCUAUGAGCUUCGUGGAAGUAUUGUGUCUGGGAAAAUUUAUUGUCCGAGCACCUGCCGUGCUUGUUGUACUCAUGCGCCCAGAAAUCCAUAUUUGUCCGUCUAUUGUUGAAGCUGGGCCAGGAAUUGGACAAAAGUAAUUGCAGAUUAUGAUCAGCAAUCAUCUGAAGCACAAAGACGAGAAGUUACAAGCAUUUCAGAGAGCUGCAGGAGAAAAAAACAAACUGAAAUGAGUAUAUAUAUUCAAUGUGUACCUGAUUUCUGUUGAAUAGGGUGCCAGCGCAGAGUAUAGGUGCAGAUGGAUCGGUAAAGUUGCUCGGCCAGAGGCCGUGUGUCGUAAAGGUAUGCCGUAGAACUUGUUGGUUUCCACAAAUUCCAUUCCCAAGGCAGAAGACGUAUUGGAAGAUAUCAUAUGGUGUGGCAGCAUUGCUCUUUCCGACAUAAGUGACGAAGCAAAGAGCGAUGACAACGAGAACAUGUUGUGCGGAAGCGUCAAAUGUGAAACCAAUAAACUACAACGGCAAAAUAUGAUAAACUACAAUGGCAAAAUAUGAUAAGACAAAUAAUCUAAAUAACACAAGGAUUUAUACUGGUUCGGCGUAAGCCUACGUCCAGUUCCGAGACGGCGAGGAAAUUCCACUAAUAUCAAAAGGAGAUUACAAAUAGAGUUCAACACUCAAACCCAAAUCCCACAUACACCCAAUAGCUUUCACUCAUAUAAAGAACAAAUAGAGAAGAAGAAACACAUACCAAAUCCUUCUCUCCCAAAAGCCACAAAAUGUAGCAAUAUAUCUUUGAAUGAAUGAUUGCACAAAUGGAGAACAGUAAAACAGCAGCACUCAAUUUUCUUCUCUAUCGGCUGCUCUCUGUUUUCUGCUAUAUGCUGCCGCUGAGUUUCUGCUCUCUUUUUUCUGCUAUCUGCUGCCGCUGAGUUUCUGCUCUCUUUACUGACCAAAAGGCAUGAAUUGCCUUAUAUAAGGCUGGUGCCUUUUAAUUAAACCCUAGCUGCCAUGUGGCUUUCAAAUGGGUAACAAAAGGCCAAACCUAUUUGGGUUUGAGACAAAAAACUAAAGGCCCAAGAAGUAUUGAGCCACAAAAUCCAACAGAACAAUCUUGAAGAAGUGCAUGGUUGUCAAGCAAUUAUCAAAAGAACAAAGGGAGGGAGGGAGGAUGGGAUGAGAAAUAACAAGGAAAGCUAAAGAGUGAAUGAAGUGUGAAUUUUCAAAGAAAUGAAGAGGUGUUUAAAUAGUUAGAGUUGAGGUUAAGGGUAGGGUUUGGAGAAAUUAAUUAAGGUGAAGCUAACUAGCAAAGAUGAUAAUAAUUAAGGUCAAGUAAGUGUGAACAGAUCCUGAACUAGGGAAUGCCUCUUUCUUGUUAUGCAAGGCUUUGCAUUCUCAUAUGCAUGCUAUAAAGGGUGGUAACCGUGUAGUGGUUGAUUCAUCAACAACCCAAUCAACCCAAUUAUAGCGGUUCCUCAUAUAUCAGAUUCAGACCCCAAGCAAGCUAAUAGUCUCAAUUUUUAGAUUAUAAUUCUAUUUGAGAAAGCCAUUCAGGACCACGCUAGCUAAAUAUGGUUCCAAUCGAAUAUAAACAGAAACGAUUUGGACAUUGUUUAUGUAUCUUAUCUUGUAAAUUGAAGUUUCAACCACUACCUUCUAGCAGUGGUAAUUCUUAUCUUUGAAAUUUUGGAGCUCUCCUCUCCUCUUCAUGGUUUCUAUUCAACUUACUUAUCCCGGUUGCAGAUAAUUAAUUAACUUGUGGAUUAAGUAAAUAGCUAUUUCAAUUUGCUGCUACUCACCCUGGAGCUAGCCUUCGGACCGGGGAAAUCAUAUUGUCCUAUAGACACCCGCUUCGUCGCUGCAAGGCGACACCGCAGGGUGGAUAUCUGCGGGUACUCAUCAUUUCAUUUCAUGGUUGUAUUGCUUCACAUUUGCAGAUUGUUAACACAACAUGCCUUCUGUUUAGUUAAUUCAUUAAUCAAACAUGAUCAAAUAUACAACAUACAAAUUGUUAGAAUUGAGGUCAAGUGUAGAGUGUAGAGAAAGAUUAAGUUGAAGCUAGCUAGCAAAGGUGAUAAUAAUUAAGGUCAAGUGAGUGUGAACACAUUCGGAAUUAGGGAAUGCAUCUUUCUUGUUGCCCACGGCAAUGCGUUCUCAUGCUAUAAAGGGUAGUAACUGUGUAGUGGACGAUUCAUCAUCAACCCAAUUAUAUAAAGUGGUUCAUCAUAUAUCAGAUUCAAACCCUAAGCUAGCUAGUAGUCCAAAUUUUAGAUUAUAAUUCUGUUUCAAAAAUCCAUUCAGGACAACGCUAGCUAAACAUGGUUCCGAACGAAAAAAUACAGAAACGAUUUAGGCAUUGCUUGCGUAUCUCAUCUUGUAAAAACGUACAACUUACAAUACACUUAAUUUCGAACAUUGUUUGAGUAUCUCAUCUUCUUCGUUGAAAGGCAACACCGCAGGGUGGAUAUCUGCGGGUAGCCAUCAUUUCGUUUCUUGGUUGUAUUGCUUCAUAUACUCGUAAAUUUUUAUCGACUCCAAGUUUCUUAAAGACAUCCAUAAUUUGAACAACAAAAGGAUUUCAUUACUUUCGAUAUCUACGUACACAUGUACUUGUUGUUGCCUUCCGUGACCGAAACCAUACUCUUCACAUAUACAACGGGCGAAUGAUUUGCUUUGCACAGUGGCAAAUAAUACGGUUGCGGAGGAAAAAUGGGAUUGAUCCUUACAGCACUUUGAAUGGGAAGAUUUUUAAGCUUCUUAGUACGGAAGUUAUAGCAGACUAUGCCUCCAUUUUCCUCUACUGUAAGAACCUCUUCGCUUUUCCACAUUGGCAAGCCUCCAUUUCCCUCUACUGUAAGAACCUCGUCGCUUUUCCACAUUGCCAAUGUGGAGUACAGGGGCAAGAGGGACCUUGAGAAUGAUGGGAUCUUGGCAGCAAAGUGUUUUGUCCAAACACCACCCGCAUUUUUCGGACCACCACCAGAAUCAUCAUCCAUUAGCCACAUUUCAAAGGGUGGUGUAUCACCAUCUUCAAAGGUAUUACAAUUCAAGCGAAAGAGAGCGAUGGAUUCAUUCCACACCUUAAGACGCAUUUCAAUACCAAAUCCUUCGAAAUUGUUGAACUCUACCAUCUCAUGUGGUAACAGUAUGUCAUGAAACACCUCACGACUCAUGUCAAACCAAACGAUCACUCGCCUAAUUUUUUUCUUGCUCGGGAUAGGUGACAUCAUAGCUAUCGGCAAAUUCCUUUUGUUGCUCACUUCCUAUCCAAUAACACAUCCCCUUGAAGUACACCUGAAAAGUUUCAGGCCAAAGGAAAGUAGUUUCCGUUUCUAAAGAAUAAGGCUCGAUCUCCCUCCAAGAAUUAGUUCCUAGGGUAUACACUACUACCUUGGGAGGAUGAAUAAUCAAAUGUUCUGUGCCGCCAUGCAAUUCUGAACCAGAAAAUCCAAUUUUGACAACUUUGUAAUCUUUAGAUUUAGGAUCAUAGCCUAAUCCCAAAACAUCGUUGAACCGAUUUGUUAGUGGCAUGUAAGGCAUAUCCAACCACCAAGGAUGAGGAUCCCUAAAGGAUGCUUCGUCGAACCAAUCUGGACUGUAUGUCUCCGAGGGAAGGACCCUGAAUUCCUGAAUUGCCGGAUUCCACAAAAGCACCUUAGUAGAAUUAGGACGAGCUAGACAAAUGAUCCCAUCACAAUGACCUAUAACAUGAAAUGAUUGAUCAUCUCCAAUCUCCAGACUCAUAGAAAGAGGAAUAUUGACGUCCUCGAUCCCAGAAAGAGUGCUACACUUGUGCACACCACCAUCGUCAUCAUCAACAAUGACAUUGUCAAAAGUAAGUACUGAGAAUACGGAUUGAAAUUUGUCCCCAUUUGGGUCCUCCGUAGAAGGGACUAACAUUCGCUUCAGAAGGACACGAGUGGACUGAUCGUCCAGCAAGGAAUGGGAGAGGUGCUUGUCGACGAACCUGGGGUCGUUGAUGAGAGCAUGCCACCAUUUAGCGACGCACUUGAAUCGCAUCAGAGAUUUCGGAGGCAGAGUUGACAGAAUAUUCACCAACAAAUCUUGUCCGAUUUUGGAUGUUUUGUUCGUCAUUUGUGCAAUGUCAAUUAUGGACCUCACCCUUGUUCUACGAUACACACAAAGACCAACACAACAAGAUCAGAAGAUUCCACAAUUACACAUUCUCUCUAAUUAAGCAUAUUCUCAAAAGCUCAUCAUCAUCUGGCAUUGCUAUUUCUUGUUAAAAAUAAAAAAAAAACUCAUUGAUACAUUCAAAAAUUUAGCCCUACUGAAAAUGCCAAUUGAAAUUCAAAAGCGAAAUAAGAAUCGAAGCAAAAAAAGUAUCCUUCUUUCAUUUAAAAAAAAAUAUAAAAACUGAAAUUGAAUAAUAAAAAGUUAGAAAUGAGGUUACCUUGUUGUAGACUAGGCAGUAGGAAGAGGAAGAGACCGAAGCAGAAGCAGCGCUGUGAGUGAGAGGGAAAGGGGCAGACUCGGCGCAGAAAAUGUAUUUUCUGCGUUUUGUUCGUGCAGCUGCGUGCGGUAAUGCGAUGGCAGAGAGGGGUUUUUAUUUUGAUUCUUGUGCGACCGUUUUUCAACACCCUCCCAAUUUUACGAACUUACCCUCCCAAAUUCGGCUGCAGUUUGCUGUUCUCUUAACUUUUUAACAGAUGUCUAUAAACUUAACUUUUAAUUUAACGGUGCUAUCUUUUCAAAAGACUAAUAUAACAAAUAAAAAGAAAUAAAAGAAAAACAAAAGGUGCCUAACUCUCCACCUACCCAAUUACGCUAUUUAAUUGGUGUUAUCACUGUUUAAUUUAACGAUGUUAUCUUUUAAGGGGAUGCUGUUGUUUUUUUUUAAUUUUUAAUUUUUUUUAAAUGUUAACACUGUUGAAUUGGUAUUAAGUUGAAGCAUGUGUCACUAAGUUAGAAAGAAGACAUGACGAAGACACUAGUUUAUGGACAUCAGACUCCUGGGCCUCAAUUUGUAAAUCAGAUUAAUAGUCUCCGUGGUGAUAGAGUAUUCGGAGGAAAGUCUAUGUAGUAAAAAGAUUGCCGAGCUCUUCCAGUGGCUCUACUCUAAGCCCAGCCGUGAUGCCUGCUCCCUCGUUUGCAAGCGCUAGCUCGCCUUCGAGUGCCUCAGCAGCACCGCCCUUUGCAUUGGCGCCACGGGUAGCCCGGACCUUGUCGUCGGCCUCCUCGCUGCAAAUUCCACAACGUCCGCACGAUUCACAUUGACGAGCACCUUAACCUUUCAUCGAUGAGGCUGCAUUCUGCCAAUGGCUUUGACGACGACGUGCUUGAUUUGAACACUACCCCAAACUUUUUUUGUUUUGAACAAAUGAUAUUAUCUACACCAGUGAUGAUUACAACCACCGGAGUUUAUCUUUUAUUGACCCUAAAAACUAUUUGGGCCUAAACACCUUCCCAUGUGUGCCUUUUAGCCACCAACAUAAUCCAUCAGCUAGCUUGAUUUGCCCUUCAUAGUAGUUGUUUUUGUUGUUUAGUUAAGGAUUUCUAGAAAUCAGAAACUUUUGUUUUUUUUUUGUUCCCUCAUUUCUGGCUUGUUAAUACAAGCUAUCGUUGCAUAUAAAAAUAAAAUAAAAAGGACGUAGCCUUAUGCCAACCAUAUUUUUUUUUAAAUUAUUAUUAUUUGUCACAUCCCAGCCCGAGCCCUCACCACAUCUCGGGCUCGACUCCACUGUAGCACAAUAUUAUUCGUUUUGGGCCCUGAUCACACCCUCAAGGUUUUGUUUUUGGGAACUCACACGAGAACUUCCCAGUGGGUCACCCAUCAUGGGAUUCCUUUUGCGCGAACUCGCUGAACUUUGGAGUUUCGAUGAAACCCGAAGCCAGUGAGCUCCCAAAAUGCCUCGUGCUAGGUAGAGAUGAGAAUAUACAUAUAAGGCUUGCAGGAUCCAUUCCUUGGGCGAUGUGGGAUGUUACAAUCCACCCCCCUUAGUGGCCCGACAUCCUUGUCGGUACACUUCCGGCCAGGGAUUGGUUCUGAUACCAAAUUGUCACAUCCCGGCCUGGGCCCCCACCACCACAUCCCGGGCUCAACUUCACGGUAGCACGAUACUGUCCGCUUUGGGCCUCGACCACGCCCUCACGAUUUUGUUUUUGGGAACGAGAACUUCCCAGUGGGUUACCCAUCCUAGGAUUGCUCUCGCGUGAACUCGCUUAACUUCGAAGUUCCGAUAGAACCCGAAGCCAAUGAGCUCCCAAAAUGCCUCGUGUUAGGUAGAGAUGAGAAUAUACAUAUAAGGCUUAGAGGAUCCAUUCCCCUGGGCGAUGUGGGAUGUUACAUUAUUAAAUGGAUGAUUUAAAACUUUUAUAAUAACUUAGAUGAGGAGGGAUGUUUGAACUUGACACGCAAGGUAGAAAUCAACUUCCAAUCCACUAGGAUAUUGGACUACAUGCAUUAUGCCCAACCAUAUACAUAUCAAGGAUUGGUAGCCUUACUCGAUAAUUUCCUGUAAAACGGUCUUUGAAUCUCAAAAAUUGCUAAAAUUUAUUUAUUUUAAUACAUUCGAUAUUUUCUAUACUAAAGGAUCGAAGAAUGGCCAAACCUCACAGUGGCUAGUAAUAUUGCUUUUGUUUGAAUUCGCCUUUAGUCACAUGUAUAAGGAAAUUUAAAUUUUGCUCAUUCACUAAUCACCCGAGAAUCAUAUUCAUAAAGUAAUUAUCCAAAAUUUAAAACAAAACACCAAUAAAUAAUCCAAAUACAUAGAAAAAGAGUAAUGCUAGGAAGGCUAAAUUUGUAGACAAAAUUUGCAAACCAAAUUAUGUGUCACCAAUAAGGAAUGAUUACGUUCAUCCAUGUUUAAUUAAUGAUCUAAUCAACAACUUCGAUGUCAUUUAAUUCAUAAAAUUGUCUUACUCCAUAGAAAAUUGUUCAAAAACUUGAACCAAAUAUUAAGAGGGCGUUUAGCCACUAGGGGGAACUCAGACACAUGUUGGCCCUUGUUUAAAAGUUCUAAUCUUCCAUCGGUGUAGAUGACUUUUGAAAAUCAAAAAACUACACAGUGGUAUCUUCGGGAUUAUCAACUUGAACAAAGUUAGUGUGUAUGACUUUACGACGUGAAUGAUACUUAGCAACAACAUCAACAAGUGCUUGACAAAUGCAUGACCAAUAAUCCUUGGAACCACAAUGAUAACAUAUGUCUAUUUCUAUGGUGGUUGUGCCUUACCUUUAUUCUUGAAGUUGAAAGUCUUGAGAUCUAGAGAAUCGCGCUUUGAAACCACAACUGUAACACAUGUCUAUUGGACCAGAAAAGUGUGGCAAGCGUUGUUCGUUAUGGGAAGCUGAGAUAUCCACCAACACAUGAAGCCACAGGGUAUUCUCUUGUUUACAAUCAGCUCUCCCCUUUUGAAGUCCAAAAUUAUACUUCCGGAAUCAUCCACCAUGUUCGUCUCACAAGUUUGAUUUCGUUUGCUUCUUAUUUUCUUCAAAGUUUCAAUGGAGAAUUACAAAGUUGGGUUUUGCUGAAAUGACUGAACUUUUAAAUCCCCCAAACAUAAGUUGUGAUGGAAUGUGGUUCUUCUGAUAAGUUGGUGAUCUAAUUGUUGUUUCGAUGUAGGGUUGAAACUGAAUACACUGUACUUUUAUCGAUGCGGGGAUCCUUCUAUACAUGCAAUGAGUCAAAUCCACCAUUUCAGGACUAUCCCAGUUUCUGGUCCUCGGAGCUACCCUGAGAGAAUAGCGGUUAUGGGAGACCUUGGCCUUACUUACAACACAACUACCACAAUAAGUCACUUGAAAAGUAACAAUCCUGAUCUUGUUCUAUUGAUUGGUGAUGUUACUUAUGCAAACCUCUACCUCACAAAUGGAACUGGCUCUGACUGCUAUUCUUGCUCAUUUCCAAACUCUCCAAUACAUGAGACCUAUCAGCCUCGAUGGGAUUACUGGGGAUGGUUAAAACAUAAAUUGCUUUAUUUCUAUCGCAUACAAUGGCUGCUGUAAAUUAUGGCAUAGAACUUGUUUUCUUAUGUUGUCAUUGCUGGGUAAUUUGUGUAGGUAUAUGCAGAGUUUAGUGUCCAAAGUUCCAAUAAUGGUUGUUGAAGGGAACCAUGAAAUAGAAGAACAGGCUGAAAAUAAGACUUUUGAGGCUUAUAGUUCUCGUUUGAGAAAACAAAUUUAAUGUGAAAUUAAUUGGUACUUGGUUCCCUCAUUGCUAAAACACAUAAUACAAAUCUUAUUUGAAACGCUAUCAGAAACAAUGACCUUAUCUUGAAACUCGUAUCACAACAGUACCAUUUGGUUCCGAUCCCAAGCAUGUUUUUAUUAAGUUGUCCUUGGUGUCUAUGAAUGACGAACAAUUUUCCUCAUUGUAAUUAAUUAUCUUUUUGCUUUAAAGUGCACUGAAUAUUCUUCAAUUUUCUUGAAUAAAACAAUAGGUUCAUGCCUACAAGAGAUCGAAUCGAGAUUAUGAUUACAACUUAGAUUCCUGUGGUCCUGUGUAUCUCACCGUUGGUGACGGGGGUAAUCGGGAGAAGAUGGCAGUUCAACAUGCUGACGAACCUGGUCAUUGCCCAGAGCCAUCAACUACUCCUGAUCAACACCUAGGUGCUGGUGCCUUUUGUGUAGAGAAAUUUACCUCCGGCCCAGCAGCAGGUAAAUUUUGUUGGGAUCGGCAACCGAAUUACAGUGCUUUCAGAGAAAGCAGCUUUGGCCAUGGGAUCCUUGAGGUACUCCUUUUUGUGUUUUUAUGUUUGGCAUAUAUCCAGUCUGACAAUGCAUUCAAUUGUCUAUAAACGUUAUAACUUAAUAUGUACGACCCUAAACUACAUAUGAUACAACUUGAAAAUGAUUGAUGGAAAGAUGAGCAUGUGCUUGACAGUCAAUGUUAUGGAACCAGUUUAAAUCAUUUUUACCACUCCACUGCAAUGUUGAUAGAGUUUGUGAUUUUAUAUGGUUUUGUGAUUUUAUGAAGUAUCAAAGCACGAAAUAAAAAAAAUAAAAAAUCAAUGAGAUUAUGAUCUCUGCUCAGAAAGCAGGAAGGAAUGAAGGUGCGAAGAAGGUGAAGAGAUUUCUCCCUUGGAUUCUAUUAAGCUAUAACUGAAUUGAUACAUCUAGAAGCAUAGAGUGGAGGGUGAGAUAUAGCGUUUGAGGGCACACUCACUCAUCAACCUCACACACUCACGUGUAUAGCACAUGCUCACCUAUAAGUGAGUUGCUAUGCCAUGUGACACAUAUCUAGCCUAUUACCUUUGAUUGAAUUUGAGCCCUACAUUACAAACUAAGAACAAACACCUUGAAUUACAAAGGAAAAUAAGAAACUUAAAUCAGAAAGCAGCUACAAGGCUUAAACAUCAACAUUCUCCUUUAAGCUGGCAGCUGAUUUGACUCCUAACAUCUCUCUAAAAUAGUUGAACUUCUCCUUUGGUAGGGCCUUAGUCAAGAUAUCUGCCAUUUGUUCUUCAGAUUUGCAGUAAACAAGCUAAAGUUCCUUCUCUUAUAUUGCAUCCCUGAUGAAGUGAAAUUUUCUGCUGAUGUGUCUUGUUUUCUGAUGAAACACAUGAUUCUUGACAAUAGCUAUUGCUGAAGUGUUAUCACACAUUAGCAUAGUAGGUUCAACCUGUUCUUCUCCAAAAUCUUAUAGAACAAACCUCAACCACUUGGCCUGAGAUGUUGCUUCUGCAACACUUACAUAUUUAGCUUCUGCAGUGGACAAUGCCACUGUGUUUUGUUUGAUUGAUGCCCAAGAGAACACACCUGAGCCAAGAUUGAAAGCAUACCCUGAUGUGCUUCUCAUGUCAUCAACACUCCCAGCCCAGUCACUGCCACAAUAUCCAAUAAGCAAUGCUGACUUUCGUUUUACAUAUUCAAUGCCAAAGUCCAUAGUACCUUGAAUGUAUUUUAGUACUCUUUUUGCUGUUCUCAUAUGCUUCUUGGUUGGACCAUGCAUGAAUCUUGCCAAGAGACUAGCACCAAACAUUAUGUCUGGUCUAGUGGCAGUGAGGUACAAAAAGCUUCCCACCAAUUUCCUAUACUCAGACUCAUCUGCAGUUUCACUUCCAUCAUUCUUGCAUAGCCUUUCAUUUGCUACAAGUGGUGUUCCCACGAAUUUACAACCCUUUAGUCCAAAUUUCUCCAACAACUUCAUUGCAUAUUUCUUCUGAUGUAUAAAGAUGCUCUUCUUGGUUUGUACAACUCUCAUACCAAGAAAAUGGUGCAGCAAUCCCUAAUCUGUCAUCUCAUAGUGCUGCAUCAUGUCAUUUUUAAAUUUGUCCAGCAAUGUGUCACUACUACCAGUGUACACAAUAUCAUCAACAUACACAGAAACAAUGAGAAUCCCUGAGUUUUCAACCUUAGUGUAUAGAGUGGCUUCACUAGGACUUCUUUUAAAACCAGCCUUGGUGAAGUAGGAAUCAAUUUCAUCAUACCAAGCUCUUGGAACUUGAUUAAGGCCAUAUAAUGCCUUGUUUAACUUGUACACUUUAUCCUCCUUGCCUUCUAUGACAAAACCUUGAGGUUGAUCAACAUAGACUUCCUCCUUGAGUACACCAUUGAGGAAUGCAGACUUUACAUCCAACUAAAAGAGUUGCCAUUCUUUCUGAGCUGCAAGAGCUAUCAAAGUCCUUAUGGUGUCAAGCCUAGCAACUGGUGCAAAAGUCUCAUUGAAGUCAAUUAUUGACUUCUGUGAAUAACCUUUUGCAACCAAUCUAGCUUUGUUUUUCUGAAUGCUUCCAUCAAGAUUCAGUUUUGUUUUGUAUACCCACUUCACACCUAUCAUAGGUUUGCUAGAUGGUCUGUCUACCAGCAUCCAUGUACUAUUCUUUUCAAUCAUGUCUAGCUCAGCUUGCGUAGCUUUCAUCCAAGAUAAAUCUAGAGCAGCCUCUUCAUAGCUUUCAAGUUCCAUAAUGCAAACAUUACACUAUGCAAGAACUUCAUUCAAGGGUCUCCAUUUCUUUGGAGUAAAAUCAUAGCUCUGUGAUAGAUCAAUCUGUGAGCUUGAACCAUCAGCAUUGGAACUCAAACUUUCCUGUGAAAUAUCAGAAGUGAUCUCAGGGAGUAUAAUUUCAUUUGAACUUCUAAUCCUUGAGUUGGUUCAGAUUCUACUAUAUUAGUAGUAAUUGAUGUAUCAAAAUAUUUUUCAGAGCUUACAUUCCAAUCCCAUCUGGGACUCUCAUCAAAUACUACAUCUCUAGACAAUAUAAUUUUAUUAGUGAUAAGAUCAAAUACCCUGUAUCCUUCCUCACUGGUUCCAUACCCCACAAAGACAUAUUUGUGACUGUUGCAUUCAAGCUUGUGUCUAAGAUUCAUGGGAACAUGAACAUAGCACACUGAACCAAAGAUCUUCAAAUGUGCAAUUCCAGGUUUUAUUCCACUAUAGGCUUCAAAAGGAGUCAUUUUAUCCAAAGACCUUGUAGGACACCUGUUGAGGAGAUAUACUGCAAUGUGCACAGCUUCUGUCUAAAACUGGUAUGGCAUGCCUUUUUCAUGUAGCAUAGUUUUUUCCAUUUCCACCACAGUUUUAUUUUUUCUUUCAGACACACCAUUCUGCUGUGGUGUGUAUGACAUGGUUAGUUGCCUUUGAAUACCAGAGACAUUGCAAUAGUCACUGAAUUCAGAAGACAUGAACCACCUCUAUCAUUUUUUAGGUACUUGAUCUUGUGUCCACCCUGCAAUUCUGUCAUUGCAUUGAACCUUUUGAAAUACUCAAAUGGCUAGGAUUUUUAUCUCAGAAAAUAAACCCAUGUCAUUCUAGUACAAUCAUCAAUGAGCAGAAUAAAGUACUUGUUUCCAGCAUUUGAAGCAAUUUGCAUUGGACCACAGAUAUGUAUGUACCAAUUCAAGUGGGAAUUUAGCUCUCCAAGCAAAUUCUCUUGGAAAUUCAUCUCUACGUUGCUUGCCAAGCAUACAUCCUUCACAAACAUUCUUGGAAUCUUCCAAGUGAGGCAGCCCAUGAACCAUUUCUUACUCCCUAAGUUGCAGCAAACUUCUUGUGUUUAAAUGACCAAGCCUCUUGUGCCAAGUCUGAGUACAAUGAGAUACACUAGCUUUCAGUGCUAGUGGUGUAGCAGGCAUCAUGGUUAAGGGAAAACACAUGUUGCCAGUCAUUUGAACCUUAGCAACCAGUCCAUUCAAGUUCUAGCUAUCAUAAAUACAAACUACAUUACCACCAAAUAGUAGAUAGUAACCAUGUUUCAACAUUUGCCCCACACUUAGGAGAUUUUCCUCCAAGCCAGGCACCAUCAUCACUUCUUGUAUGUGUUUUCUUCCCAUCUUAGUUUCAAUGACAAGUGUACCUAUUCCUGCUACACUCACAACUUCACCAGUUCCCAUUUUUACUCUUGCAUUCAGGUUUCUACUCAUAUUCAUCAGCAAGCUUUCAUUCCCUAUCAUGUGGUUGCUGCAACCACUAUCAAUGUACCAAGUAUUAUUGACUUUCACCUGAGUCACAAAAUUGCAAGCAAAGAAUAAGGUUCCCAUAUCAUCAACCUGAUUUGCAUAGUUGGCCUUCUGCACCAUUUUGUUCCCAUUGCAGUUUCUGGUUUCAUGAUCAAAUUUAUUGCAAUUUGUGCAUUUAGGUUUUCCUUCAAACCAGCACUUUCCAUAGUGCAGUUUAUCACAAUGUUUGCAAGCUGUUUUGUUCGAAUCAUGAGAAUUAUUCUGCUUAGAGACAAGGUUGGGCUUGUUAUCCCACUUUUUCCUUUUGUUCUUCCAAUUUUUUCCUGAUUUUUGAGUACCGGAGAACCCACUGGGUUUUUGAAACUUAGACCCAACAUUUAGACUAACAAAUGCCUUUUCAUUAGAGUUUUUAGCAUGCAUAUCUAGCCUUUGUUCAUAACCCUUCAGAGAGGCAACAACUUCUUGGAUUUCAAGGGUUUCAAUAUCCUUUGAUUGUUCAAUCACAGCACAGAUAGAGUCAUAACUUCUAGGCAAGCUUAUAAGUAAUUUUUGAACAACCCUGUCCCUAGAUAGUUCUUCACCAUAACCCCUUAUUUGAUUCAUGAGGUCAAACAAUUUAGUAAGGUAUGUAGAUAAGGAUUCAUCAUCUAUCAUCCUAGUGUACUCAAAUUCUCUGCUUAAACCUUGUAAUUUCACAUUUCUAACCUGUUUGUCAUCUCUGAGUUCUUGCUGUAGAAUAUCCCAAGCUCCCUUGGAGGUUUCUUCGUUAGAGAUCCUGGGGAAAAUCUGAUCAAUGACAGCUCCUUGGAUCAACCCAAGAGCCUUAGCAUCCUUCAUUAUGAUCUCCACAACGUUUGGAGUUUCAGUAGCUGCAUCAUUCUCCUUCUUUUCAUCAGCUACCAUAACCACAAUAGAUGAUUAUGGGAUAGUAAACCCAGUCUCUACGAGCUCCCACAGUCCAUGAGACUAGAGGAUGGUUCGCAUUCUGAUAUUCUAGAAUUCAUAGUUCUCACCAUUGAAAAUGGGAGUGCGAAGCUCAGAACUCGUUGUUCUAGCCAUAUUAGACUCAGAUCUUCGAUUUUCACAGAUUUUCAAAGCGCGAUUCUUCAGCAAUGAAGCUUAGGGAAAACAAUUCAUUGAAGAACACAGAAAUCACAUAUUCAUGCCCAGAUUAAAGCGAUGAACCUGGCUCUGAGGCCAUGAUAGAGUUUGUGAUUUUAUAUGGGUUUGUGAUUUUAUGAAGUAUCAAAGCAUGAAAUCAAAAAGAAAUCAAUGAGAUUAUGAUAUCUGCUCAGAAAGCAUGAAGGAAUGAAGGUACGAAGAAGGUGAAGAGAUUUCUCCCUUGGAUUUUAUUCAGCUAUAACUGAAUUGAUACAUCUAGAAGCAUAGAGUGGAGGGUGAGAUAUAGUCGUUGAGGGCGCACUCACUCAUCCACCUCACACACUCACGUGUAUAGCACAUGCUCACCUGUAAGUGAGAUGGUAUGCCAUGUGACACACAUCUAGCCUAUUAGCUUUGAUUUAAUCUGAGCCCUACAUUACAAACUAAGAACAAACACCUUGAAUUACAAAGGAAAAUAAGAAACUUAAAUCAGAAAGUAGCUGCAAACAUCAACAAAUGUCACGAGAAAAUCACUUCGCACCAAUAUCUGUUUAUAUGGGGUGCGAAAAUCCUGUGACUAACUUGAAUACCCUUGAUCGGUUAUUGAGUAGCAAACAUAUAGAUGUAGGCUAGUAGGCUAGAAGUCUGCUGAGAAUGUAUAUACUAGAAUUAUAGCUCAGUUUCACCACCUGGAUUAUACAUUAACCGUGCAUUUUGAUGUGCAUAACUUGCAGGUGAAGAAUAAGAUUUGGGCUUUGUGGACAUGGUACCGGAACCAGGACUCCGACAAUAAAAUUAGAGAUCGAAUUUAUAUAGUGAGGCAGCCUGAUAAAUGCUGCAUCCGCCAUGCGUUCUAAAGUUGGCUUGCUGGCCUCUAAUUCUCACUGCUGCUUGCUGGGAAAAUUAUUAUUAAGAUACCAACUCAAGUGACCAUUCUUAUCUAGAUAGGAAUAGGACGGAAGGUGCAGAAAGAGUAGGAAGAUGGGGUUUCACCUAUGUAUACACACUACAUAUAUGGGGAGAGGGAGAGAGAAAGAGAGCAGAAGACGAAAAGCAACUCCGUUAUUGUGGUAUGUAGCUGAUAAAAUCUCAUUUAUACAUCUCCAUUGUAACUUGAAUAUAUACUCUCAACCAAUUUAUACAACAAAAAAUGUGUAAGAUUGGUUCCUGGAGCAAUUUCAGAUAUCGAAUUCUGAACUAUUUGCGUAUUUUGUUGAGUUACUGCAAAUUGGUUCAACUGAUGAACCAAAAAUUUCCCCUCCCCCUAUUAUGAAGCCAAAAAAUUGUUGGAAGUGACUUUUAUAUUGUCACUUAGUGUUACAAGUUCACUAAUGUUAUGGUGGCACCGCUUAUAAGGGUGGUGUUUCGACAAAACCCUUAGCUCCCGAGCUCACAAUGCACCCCGCCUAUAAGUCAUUCGGAGUUUGGAAGGAGCAAUGAGGUUUGCUAUAACCUCCGUACAAAAAACCUUCAACAACUUCCCAUACAUUGUAUUCUCCAUUAAAUUCCAGGCCAGGGGUUCCACCUCCAUCUCAUAUAAUUUCUUACCGUCUCUUGUCCAAAACAUUUGUAAUAUUGUGCCAAUUAUGUUAUAUAUUUGCAGGAUGCAUAGCAAUUUGGUGUUAGUAAAACAUUGUCUGCCGCAUAUUUGAUCAUGUUUUAACUUAGGAAUUUCAUGGUCUAGUUAAUUUUGACGAAUUUGAAAGGCUUUUAAAACAAAUUAGAAUCAAACUUUCAAAAUUACUACCCCAAACAAAUUGCACUGCAAAUUACCAUAAUCAGAAUUCAUCAGCUCAUGUACAUACUACAUAACAUUUACUUAGGAUAUGAAAUGGUGAGAUCGAUAAAUUCGAAAUCAUCAUUAUAUUGUUGUUCUUAUUACAUUAAUAUAGAUACAUGUAGCCACUAUAUAUAUACCUAUUAGAGUGAAUAACAUACCAAUGCCAUGCCCCACAAUUUGUUGUCCUGACACAAUCGACCGGAUUCGCCGCGUUGUAGUCAAAACAGAUGACGACUUCCAGCAGAUACACGAUCCCCCCGUCAUACUUGCAACGAAGAAGAGGUAUUUUGUUUUGUAUAGUCCUUUGAAUGGUUGAUUCAAGGUCGAUGUAACGAUAUUGAUAUCCUGGUACAAUCCCAGUUGUUUGAGAAAAUAGAUAUUGUGCAUUGUAGGUAAACUAUAUAAGCUUCAUGGAAGUAUUGUGUCUGGGAAAAUUUAUUGUCCGAGCACCUGCCGUGCUUGUUGUAUUGAUCCUCCCAGAAAUCCAUAUUUGUCUGUCUAAUGUUUAAGGUUGGCCAGGAAUUGGACAAAAGUAAUUGCAGAUAAUGAUCAGCAUUCAUCUGAAGCACAAAGAUGAGAAGUUACAAGCAUUUCAGAGAGCUGCAGGAGAAAAAACAAGGGAACUGAAAUGAGUGUGUGUAUAUAUAUAUAUUCGAUGUGUACCUCAUUUCUGUUGAAUACGGUACCAGCGCAGUGUAUUGUACAUCAGACUCCUGGCCCUCAAUUUGUAAAUCAGAUUAAUAGUUUCCAUGGUGAUAGAGUAUUCGGAGGAAAGUCUAAGUAGUAAAAAGAUCGCCGAGGUCUUCCGGCGGCUCGCCUCCAAGCCCAGCCUUGAUGCCAGCUCCCUCUUCUGCAAGCGCUAACUCGCCCUUGAGCGCCUCAGCAGCAUCGCCCUUUGCAUCGGUGCCACCGGCAGCCCGGACCUCGUCGUCGGCCUCCUUGCUUCCAAUUCCGCAAUGUCUGUGCCGUUCACAUUGACGAGCACCUUAACCUUUCGUCGGUGAGGCUGCAUUCUGUUUGAGAAAAUGAAUUUCAUUGAUUAAGAGAAUAAAAUUACAAUGUUGUGGUGUGUGUGUGUGUGUGUGUAUAUGUGUGUGUGUAUAUAUAUAUAUAUAUAUGUAUGGAUACCCUCUACACUCUCACAUAACUCUAACCUUCUAAACACCUAGCCACCUAUACAACAAUCUCAACUAAUCACUAGUCUAAUACAACAAACUAACUAGCUCUAAGUUUUAUCACCAAUUGAAUCUUUAACAAUAUUAUCCUUAACAUCCCCUCCUCAAACUGAACUGAGGAGUUCGAAGGGACAAUUUGGAUCUUAAGAGCUUAAACCAGUCUUUGGAAAGAGAUUUUGUGCAGAUAUAUGCAAUUAAGUUCCCCGACGCGACUUCGAAUGAUUUUGUAACUUUUUCGAUUUGGGUAAGCCUCAAAACACUCCAAAUGUUUCUCUUUUCGUCCCUAUAGUUCUUUUAUGACCACGUUGUUGUGUUUUGGACAUCAAAAUAUGAAGAAACACCUCGGAGGACUAUAUUCCAUGUUUUCUGGCGAGGUGCUGGAACUUGCAGACGUUUUCUGAUCAUAUUUCAGCCACGAGGAAGGUAUAUUUCGACUCCUUGCUUCACGGGCUUCAUUUUGGUAUUUUAGUUCACUUGUUUUGACUAAGUUUCGAGCUCCAUCAAAGCUCGGGCAUUCUCUAGCCAAUUUUUGGCCUUCUUAUUCCUUUGGUCCGAUGACCCACAACCUUAGACCCAAAACCCUUUUUACCCAGCCCAUUUGGGUAGCCCAAUCCCUUAUCCUUUAAACCAAAUGACCCAAUUAAAUAAUCGGGCUUUCAAGCCCAAAACCCUAGUCUAACUAGGCCCUUAGGCCGUGCACCUAGGCCCAGGCCCAUCGCCAAUCCAGCCCAUUAAACCCAAACCCUUGACCAUUUGAAACCAGGCUUUUGGGCCUAGGUCCCUUCAGCCUAAACCCACCAGCCCAACUCGGAUGGAAUAUUCUUUGGAAUAUUCCGUCAGAGAAUAUUCUGUCAAGGAAUAUUCUUUGGAAUAUUCUUAGUGUUGACUUUUUAUUGACUUUUUCGAAAUUUACCCGGAACCCUUUUUAGGGUAAUUCGACGUCCUGAAUCCAUUUUAGACAUCCGUUUUCCCAAAUUCAAUCAUUUGAAUAAAGUUUUAUUAAUUGGACCAUUUAUGUGCUUAUGUGCAAUUAUUUACAGCGAUUCCGUCAUUUUUAUUUCAUAUGGCUCUACAACGACGGAGUAUCUGUGAGUGGACUCCUUCUAAAAUGCAUGUUUUAAUACUAGAAAUGCAUACAUAAAAAGCCUAAUUUAAUUAUUACUUUUUAUGAAACGUUUUUAUGAGAUAUUAUGCUUACUGAGAAUAUUUUGAAUUACCAUAUUUUAUCGAACUCAUGUUCUAUGUGGUAUAGAUGAUGGAUGACUUUAUACUGCUUAUGAGCAUGCUUUUGCACACUUCUUUAUAGUAUAGGUGAUGGAUGACUUUAUACUAUGAAGAUGUUUUUAAGAUAUAUAUAUACCUAUGUUUGGAAAGUCUAUGUUCAAUGGUUUUGUGCUUAUCUAGUGGUCACUAUACCGCCACGGGCGAGGAUUAUGGUUGUUGGCUGUGGGCCGGGAGAAAUAAUCUCUGGCUUCGGGCCGAGAGACAUGGAGUUGGCAUUGGGCCAGGAGAAAUAAUCUUUGGCUACGGGCACAGAGACAUAAAAGCUGGCAUUGGGUCGGGAUAUUAUUAUUGGAUACCAUUAUGUAUCACACUAUUUACGAGAUAUGUUUUAUGAAGGUUUUAUGGCAUGCUAGGGUUUUCGGAAAACCUAUUACAUAUUAUACUAUUGAAUUUCCAUAAAACUUUGGUGGUUAGUAUGUUGAUAACUGUUUUAGUCUAUAUAUAUAUAUAUAUAUAUAUAUAUAUAUAUCAACUUGGUCCACUCAUGUUUGUUUUGCGCCCCCUCAGGACUUAGAAUUGAGGUGUACAAUCCCGACGUCAAGGCACUUCCGAUUCGGCAGCUUUGAGGCCUCUCGGUGUAGAACCCAUUCCUUUGCUCCUUCAAUGUUAUAUUUUUUCUUUAGUGUUCUAGAUUAGUUGUAUGCUCUGAACACGUUCCUCAUUUGCAUAUUAAUUAUAAUUAAAUUUAUAAGUCUUAUAUAUUUCGGGUUCUCAUGCAUUCUAAUAUGGCUUCGUCACCUUAGGGUGUUGGCCAACACGUUCCUACCCUGGUGUUCGGGGAAUAUCAGGGUUGGGCGUGUCAACAUGGAAGAUGGAAACUAAUAUCAGCAAGUAACUGACAUAUCCAUGUAAUUUCAGCUGCAGUAUUAGCUAGAGAUCGAUACUCUGCCUCUAUUGAAGAACGAGCCACUAUUGGUUACUCCUUAGCACUCCAAUUGAUGAUAGAUGAACCCAGAAAAAUACAAUAACUGCCAGUUGAUCUUCGAUCAAGUGUGCAACCUGCCUAGUCAGCAUCUAAGAAGGCUUUGAGAGAUGGAACAGAGACAGAUUAUGUAAACCAAAGACCAAUGUCAAUGGAACCCUUAAGAUAUCGAAUGAUCAUUUUGACAGCUUAAAAAUGAGACUGCCUUGGAUUGUGCAUGAAUUGACAAACAAGAUUGACUACAAAUCAUAAAUCUGACCGAGUCCAAGUAAGAUAUUGUAAUACACCAACCAAAGAUCGAUAUUCUGUAGGAUUAUCAAGCAAUGGAGAAGAAUGAUCCAACUUAGAUGUAUUGAGUGGGGUAACACAUGGUUUUGCUCUAGCCAUGUUAGUCUUCUUUAACAGAUCCAAGAUAUACUUGGUUUGUGAAAUAAAGAUGCCUUUGGAGGAUCGCUUGACUUCAAUUCCCAGAAAAUAAUGAAGUGCACCAAGGUCUUUGAUGAGAAAGAGAGAGCUAAGUUGAGAAAUUACAUGUUUCCAAGCUGCUACAGAUGGCCCUGUGACAAUAAUGUCAUCAACAUAUAUCAGAACAAAGACCAUAAGAUCCCUUUUGACAAACAAUGAAUGAUCUGAUUUAGAACUAGUGAAGCCAAGAGUAUGCAAUGCGCCAUGGAAUUUUUCAUACCAGGCUCUGGGAGCCUGUUUAAAACCAUAUAGGGAUUUAUGCAGUUGACAAACAUGAGUAUGGUGAAUAACAUCUUCAAAACCAGGCGGAUGUUGCAUAUAAACAGAUUUAGACAAUGUCCCAUGCAGAAAAGCAUUGCUUUCAUCUAGUUGACUGAGACUCCAAUCAAAUUGGGCAGCAAGAGUGAGUAUGAGUCGAAUUGUCACAGGCUUGGCUACUGGACUAAAAGUCUCAGUAUAAUUAAGUCCUUCUUGCUGAUGAAAACCUUUGGCAACUAAGAAAACUUUGUACUUAUCUAUGGUACCAUCAGGUUUUCUUUUAAUCCUGAAAACCCAUUUACAUCCUACAAUGUUUUGAUGAGCAGUUUUGGGUACUAAAGACCAAGUACCAGUUUGUUGGGAGGCAAGAAACUCAUCCUGCAUUGCCUUAACCCAAUGUGGAUAUUUAGAAGCUUGGAGAUGUGUAGUGGGGACAAAUUCAUAUGAAAAUUAAGAAAGGAGAGGAUGUUUGCUUGCAGAAAAGGCUUUUGGUUUGUAAAUACCAGAUUUGGACCUGGUUUGCAUAAGGUGAGUAUUAGUAGGAACUGAGUGAGAUGUAGGUAUAAGAGAUAUAGGUAUAGGGGCUAUUGGAGAAGAGCUACUUGGAAAUAUAUGAGAUGGAGAUGAUGGUAUAGGGGAAUGAAUAUGUGGUUGAGUGAAUGUGAGGUGAAUGGGAAUGGUAUUGAGAGGUGAAGAUGCUGCUGAGGGAAAAGAGCACUGUGAAACUGCAAUAGUGUUAAAGGGAAAACUGCCUUCAUCAAAGAUCACAUUUCUGAGAUGUAUAACUUGUUGGUAGUAAGAUCCAAACAUUUGUAACCUUUUUGGUUAAGGCUGUAAUGAAGGAAUACACAUAACUUUCUUUUGGGAUCCAAUUUAGACUCAGAGUAAGGUUGCAGCCAUGGAAAACAACUACACCCAAAAACCUUCAAGGUGGCAUAGUUAGGUGAUCUGUGGAAAAGACGUUCCCAUGAAGACAAUCUGGAUAAAGUAGGUAAUCUAUUUAUGAGAAACACAACUAUGGAAAAAACAUGAUCCCAAUAGGUGUAAGGGACCUUAGAAACUGUUAAAAAUGUUCUGGCAGUCUCAACUAUGUGUCUGUGCUUGCAAUCAGCACAACCAUUCUGUUGAGGAGUGUAUGGACAACUUAGUUGAUGACUAAUACCAUUUUCAACAAGGAAAUUAGAGAAUUGAGUGCUAAGAUAUUCCCCACCAGAUCUGAUCUGAGAGCAACAAUUUUAGUAUGCAACAAGUUCUCAACAAGACUUUUGAACUUAACAAAAGUAGGAAACACAUUAGAUUUAUAUUGCAAAGGAUAAAGCCAACAAUAUUUUGUAAAAUCAUCUACAAAGAUGACAUAGUAUCUGAAAUUGUUCACAUAAGUGACGGAUGUUGGCCCCCAAACAUCUAUGUGAAGUAGCUCCAAAGGUUUACUGGUAUGACAAGGUACAUAAGCAAAUGGCAAUCUGGAACUUUUGCUUAAGGCACAACCAUUAUAGAAAGACUUAUUAGAACCAUUAGAAAACCAAAUACAAUACUUAGUAGCCAACUUAUUGAGAAUCUUCAUCGAAGGAUGGCCAAGUCUUUGGUGCCAAAUAUUUCUAGAUGUGUUAACAGAAGCAGCAAACACAUUGUGAUUGUGGAUCACAUAACUGGAAGCCUAUAGUUGAAAUAGAUAGAAGCCAUCUCUCACAUGACCUUUAAAGAGCAUCUUUCCAGAAGAAAUAUCCUUCACAGCGAAGUGAUAAGGAUAAAGAUGCAUAGAACACCAAUUAUCAACAAGAAACUGAUUUGCAGAAAGCAUAUUUUGUUUCAAAUCAGGAACAUGCAACACAUUUCGAAGUUGAAAAUUAUGAUGAGGAGUAUGUAAUGCAGAAGAACCAGAGUAGAGAAUGGGCAAACCUUUGAAGAGUGUUGUAAGAAUUGGUCAUGUGAGUACUAGCACUGGAGUCAACAAUCCAAGUAAGUUGAGGAGAAAGUGUGCUUGCAGCCAUAGCAGAAUGAGAAGCAUUGCUGGAAUAAUGUGGAUUCAUGCGCUAGGGACACUCGAUUGCAUCAUGCUCAAACUAGCGAAAAAUUUGGCAUGGAAUCCUCAUUCCAGAGAAAUUGAAGGAUGAUCAACUACCACGGUUGUAACACUGAGAGUUGUUGCGAGAAAAAUUUAGAUGAUAGUUGUUAGAACGGAAGUUGCUUCAUCCUUGGAAGUUUCUAGGGUUGGAGAAACCACGAUCGCCACCAUGACCUUGAGAGAAAUUACGAUCACCACCACGACCUGGAAGAUUAUGUUGAGCAACAAAGGCCUGAGAAUGUGGAGUAUGAAGGAUGCCGGUGGUGGAGUUGUACGCCUGAAUUGGCACUAUCGAAGUAGUUUUCUUCCAAUUUGUUAACUGAAUCUCUAUACUAAGAAGAAGACUAUGCCGCUCAUCAAGUGUGGUGGAACCAAGCUGGAAUUGUAUCGCAUCAACAAAAGAUUCGUACUCUGAUGGUAAAUCGUGAAAUGUGAUAGAGAUUAAUUCAGAAUCCUUAACUGGAGCACCGACAUUGGCAAGAGCAUCAUCGAUCUCUUGAAUUUGUUGAAGAUAUUGAGCAGUUGUGGAAUCGCCCUUUGAAAUGCUGUGUAAACAUGAUCGGAGCUCAUGGAUGUGCCAUUGAGACGCCAUCGCAAGGCGUGACUCCAAUUUUACCCAAAGUUAUCUGGAUGUAGUAACUCUAACAAUGUAAGGAAUGAUCGAUUUAGAAAGCAUGGAAUCGAUCCAGAUGAGGAUGUUCUUAUCAUUCUCGAACCAAGAAACAUAUGCCGGAUUCAGAAUUUGAUUUCCAACAGCAUUAGAGAUGAAUUGAGCUGGAGGAGGCAUCGAUCCAUCAAGAAUUCUAGUGAGAUUAUAGCGACGGAAGAUCGAAGAAAAUAAUGCACUCCAAGUGAGAUAAUUGGUCAGAGUCAGCUUGAUCGGCACCAUGGAUUCGAUAUUCUGGAUCAUGAUUAAAGGUGUGGAGAGAGUAGAACUAGAAUUUGAGAGAAGAUCAGGAUGAAUUUGUGUUGCCGAUUUAGAAGAAGGAGAAGCUGAGGUCGCCAUGGGAGAUAGUUAGGGUUUGGCAGUGAAAGCUUAGGAAGGAAGAAAGCUUAGCGAAGAAGCUGGAGAGGGGAAAGCGUGGAUUGGAUCAAGUCGGUAGACAGAAGGCGGGUGAUACCAUGUUAGAGAAAAUGAAUUUCAUUGAUUAAGAGAAAAAAAAUUACAAUGUUGUGGUGUGUGUGUGUGUGUGUGUGUAUAUACACCCUCACAUAACUCUAACCUUCUAACCACCUUGCCACCUAUACAACAAUCUCAACUAAUUACUAGUCUAAUACAACAACCACAACAAACUAACUAGCUCUAAGUUUUAUCACCAAUUCAAUCUUUAACAAUACCAUCCUUAACACAUUAUGCCAAUGGCUCCGCCGAAAACGUGCUUGAUUUGAACAGCGUAUCAGAUGUCAGUAUGACUGCUAUCAGCAACAGAUUCCCCAAGCUCGAAAAUCUGAGCUUAAUCUGGUGCUCCAAUGCCUCUAGUAUCGGUCUAAUUUUGCUGAUAAGUGUAAACUGUUGAAAUCGUUGGAUUUGAUAGAGUUGAAUUUUAAUGCUUGAAGUCUGCAAUUCUUCGUUUGAAUACUUAACUGGACUAUCAGUGAUCCACAACUCCCUGGUUGGUAGCUACUUGGCAUCCUUCCUGGUAUAGUACCUACGAAGCCCUUUACAGAGAGGCAGAAUGUAUGAGGUAGCAAACAUAUAGAUGUAGGCUAGUAGGCUAGAAGUCUGCUGAGAAUGUAUAUACUUGAAUUACAGCUCAGUUUCACCACCUGGAUUAUACACUAAGCGUGCAUUUUGAUGUGCAUAACUUGCAGGUGAAGAAUGAGACUUGGGCUUUGUAGACAUGGUACCGGAACCAGGACUCCGACAAUAAAAUUGGAGAUCAAAUUUAUAUAGUGAGGCAACCUGAUAAAUGCCGCAUCCGCCAUUUGUUCGAAAGUUGGCUUGCUGACCUCUAAUUCUCACUGCUGCUUGCUGGGAAAAAUUUAUUAUUAAGAUCCCAAAUCAAUUGACCAUUCUUAUCUAGAUAGGAAUAGGAUGGAAGGUUGCAGAAAGAGUAGGAAGAUGGGGUUUCACCUAUGUAUACACACUAUAUAUAUAAGAGGAGGGGGGUUGGGGGGGUGGGGGGUGGGGGAGGGGGCGGGGAGAGAGAGAGAGAGAGCAGAAGAAGAGCAACUCCGCUGUUGUUGUAUGUAAAUGAUAAAAUCUCAUUUAUACGUCUCCUUUGUAACUUGAAUAUAUACUCUCUCAACCAAUUUAUACAACAACAAACGUGUAAGAUUGGUUCCUGGAGCAAUUUCGGAUAUCGAAUUCUAUUAUAUAUUUGCAGGGGUUCCACCUCCAUCUCAUAGAGAUUAUCAUCACCUGUUGUUUCUGUGAAUAAUGUAAUUUCUUACCGUCCCUUGUCCAAAACAUUUGUAAUAUUGUGCCAAUUAUAUUAUAUAUUUGCAGGAUGCAUAGCAAUUUGGUGUCAGUAAAACUUUGUCUGCCGCAUAUUUGAUCAUGUUUUAACUUCGGAAUUUCAUGGUCUAGUUAAUUUUGACGGAUUUUGAAAGGCUUUUAAAACAAA
rnacentral:lncRNA from 1 species